UGUAUUUGGCUAAUGGAUUAGCAUUUGGAAGAGCUUUUGCCACAAUCUAUACACUUCAUCUUUAACAGGUUGCCCUGACUGACAGUGAGGAGAGUGUGAUCUAAAGAGAAAUUGAAGCUCCGUUUACAAGAAAUUUCAAGAGAAACUCACACCCACCUUUGGAAGGAACUCAAAGGUCCACUCACACCCAACCAGCUUCCAGUUAAUACUUCAAAUUCACAUCAUCAAACAAGACCAUCAACUUCAACAUUCACUAAAGAAAUUAGCUCAAAAAAAUUCAAAAUCCACAAUUCCAAGUCUGCAUUUUUUUAAACUGGGAUUUGAAGGGUUCAACAAAACCUGAAUCCAGUUUGCUCAUAUGGCAAAUUAACUUUAUUACAAGAUUAAACUGGCCGGAUAAUUGAUAAUUGUCAUUGGCCUUUUGAUUCAGAGAUGGACUGUAAUGGGCUUGUAGUCGAAAACAAUGACUUUCUCCAGGUGGAGCAGGAACAGAUUUGAGAAUUCGACAUGGGCUGGAUGAGACACAUACUCUGCAAUGCCUUCCACACUCUCGAAGGUUGACUCGAAGACAUGAGUGAAACCUUGAUGCAUGUUCUCAAUGCUCACAUCCUUGCCCUUGUUACAUUACACAAGAUAUCACAAGUUUUAGAGAUUUAGAAGGCAUGGUAACAAGCAGCAUAACCAUUUCGCCAGGCACAACUCAAAGACAUCAGACUCAAACAUGAACCAUCGUAAAUUUCUUCACUUAUAUGAAAACAAAAAUGUUAGAAAGGGAUCUAUAGGUUCAACAGAAAUUGUUCUGAUUUUAUGAGCAACUAAUGCCUCAUUAUCAGAUGAGUUCAGGGCAUCUGCUUGGCAAAUUAAUAUUGAAGUUUUAAACCAAUAAAAAGAUUUAUUGUGCAUAUUCAUUAAAUAUUGUUAAGUGAUCGUCUAUUAUUUGGUUUUGUUUUUUGUCUGUUGUUGUAGUACUUAUUUUAUUUUAGUUUGGUAUUUUAUUUUAUUUUUUAUUUUUUAUUUUUUAUUGGACACUUUCUUUGAAUGAGAAGACUCAAAAGAGUUGUGUAAAGACUUAGAAUUUCCAACUUAUUGUAAUACAGUCAUCAGCAUUUUGGUGAAAGUAUUUCUGAAGCUUACAGGUUUUAGUUAUCUUUCUAAUGCCAGGUAAUUUCUUCUUCAUCUAUUUACUUUGUGGAAACCACCUCAGUCACACUCACGUAACUUAUUCCCAUACCUCUGCAAUUUGAGAUUUAAUAGACCUGUUUCUCCUAUUAACAUCAGGGGAGGCGGCCUUUUCUGCUUUAUGAAUUAAUCUUCACAAAUGUUUAUUCUAAGUUAUACUUUCUUGUCUCUUUUCAUGUCAAUCAUGUACAUUGGUAGACGUUAUUAAUUCUCUGAGUUAUGAAAUGGGAUUUAGGAAUUUAGGAUUAAAGGGAAAUAUGAUUUUAUGAAAUGUGUCUUAUCUAAUUCAUAGACCUCCAUGAUUUCAGCUUUUAUCAGCUUGCUGUUAUCCCUCAGCUGAUUAUUGUUAUUAUGGAAUAUGAAUUGAUCCAAUAAUGUGGAGUCUUAAUAUCCCUCUUUUUUAAAAAAAAAAAAAAAAUCUGAAAUCUUAAUAUCCCUGUUGUUUCUUCUGAUAUUGCUCAUUUGAUUAUGAAUUAGGUAUAUCCAUGCAGAUCUACAUGGAGCUUCAAGUACUGUGAUCGAGAACCACAAGCCUGAACAUCCAGUACCCCCUCUUACUUUGAGCCAAGCAGGAUGUUUCACUGUAAGUUGGUCAUCUUUCAAUAUUCUUUUGGUAUUAUUUCAUUUUAUUGUGUCUUAAGGUAGGAGUGAACAGCAUAUCUGCACUCUGAAUUAUUUAGCUUGCAAUUUUUUUGUAAAAUAGGUUUGUCUGAAAUUAGUUCUGCUCAUAAUGAAUUGACCACCUCCAAUGUUGGAUCCAUCAAUUUGCCUGAAGUUCCUCUUGAAGAGAGGAAUAUGUUGAAUGGAAAUGAUAGUGAGCAUAUAGAUGAUAUUUCUGGAAUACAUGUUUCUUCUGUCAAUCCACAACUUGAGGAUCUCAUUGAUAGGGCUCUUGAACUUGGAUCUAAUACUGCAUCUGGUAAGAAGUAUGCUCUUGAAACUUCUCAAGUUGAUUUGGAAGAACACAAUCAUGAAGACAGAAAGGCUAAAGUCAGAGAGAAACCUUAUACUAGCUACCAAAGCCAGAGAAAAAAAUGAACACAAAUUUUGCGCCUGUAACAAAAGAAAACACUUCAUUCCAUUUGUUUAGCAGUUUAGAUGUACACUUGUAGGUUCUGGCUUGCUUCAUAUGCUAGUGUAUUUGAUAAGUAGGACCAACAGGCAUAGGCGCAAAAACUGGGGUGUGAGAGUUUGGCAGUGCAAUACUUUUGUUUCAGUGCCACUAAACAAGACAAGAACAACCAAUCCUUCACUAAAUGAAAGAUGAAGUGCAUGAAAUCAUGUAGCCUGGUCUAUUUCUCAAUACUAGCUACCAAAGCAAUUUUUUUUUUUUUUUUACAUCAGAUCUACUUCCUUUCACCUCAAUUAUAACACCCAAAAUCGAAUACCACAAUAAAAAAGUUGAACCCUCAGUUUGGAGCAUUUGAAGAACAAGUAUUAAGUCAAACCAUCCAAUUUUCAUACUUUUGGGCCUAUAGCGUCCCAAGAUUUUUCUUCACUAUCGAAAACAACUAAAAAGAAUUCCUUAAAGCACUUCGAAUUGAAAUUACCAAGGUUUCAAAAUUAAAAAACAUCCUGCCCAAAAAAGGCAUCCACCUGGAACCUUUUAGAACAAAAUGAAAUUAUCAGAAUCAUUCCAUUUUCCUAGUUUUUAUACUACUGCAGCAAUGAAACAAACAUCUCAGGUGACAAAGAAGCCCUUUAACUACAAACACUACGUUUUACUUACCAAACCAAAAUAAUUGAAGUAUGUAAAUUCUACCAAAAAAAUAAAAAGCAAUAGCAUGAUAAAAUUAUUGCAUUUGUCAAAUAAUUCAAACUGAAAAGUAAUAGCAACUUCAAGAUCCAACGACAAAGUACAACAUAAAUUUGAAAUUGUUUAUUAUUAAUCAAAAACUCUUAAAAAUUAAAUACCCUUUUGGGUUGAUUUACCAUUGGCAGUCAAAGAAUUAUUCCAUUAAUAAUUCUCUCAUGAGAAGCAACAACCCCUAAAGUUAGCUGCAAAGCAACUCAAUCAACCAUUAUGCUCAAUCAAUUAUUGAAAAUUUUAACUUAAAAGAAACUAAGCUUAGAACGGAAAAGGGAUGGGAUAUUAGUGACCAAAUAGUCAAUACAAACCAAAAGUCAUACACGCCAAGACAGUAAUACCAACAUGGAAAACAACACCACAUGUAACAAUAACAACAAGAGCAACCGCUCCUUGGACCGUGGAUGGACUCCUACAACUCAAAAUUCCUAGUCGAAUCUCAAGGAUGUUCACUAUUGAGAGAAUUAGAAAAAUACAUCCUAAGAUUGAGCUAAAGAUGGCACAAAGCAUCACCUUUUGAAUAGACUUUCUAUUGAAGUGGCUUCUAAACUCUUCAUUUGAUUCAGCAGCAUUGACAAGUUUGAUCAUUAUCUUCAAGCCAUGAGCCACCAAUGAUGAUGUGAGAAAAAAUGCGAAGGAAAUGACCUCAAACAACAUCAAGGUCCUGAUCGUGCUGAUAUUGGCAUCACAGCCAAGACGACCAUCAAUGCUAUGUAGUCCUAUGGUGGUGAGGGAGAGUCCCAGAAAUGAGGAGGCAGCGUAUAGGGAGUUGAGACUCACAACGGUAUCAAGGGCAGCGAAGUGAAUGUCAUCUCUUAUCUCCUCUCUUGAUUUUACUUGAAUAACCCUGAAAAUAAAAGUAAUAUGUUAAUUUCUAUUGAUUUAUAAAAGAAAGUAAAAAAAUGUUGAAAUUAAGAUAGAUACUGUUGGGCCUCCAUAUCUGAGACAGUCUUGUAGCCGCUGCUGUAAAGAAAAAACUUGUGAGAAUUAGUUAAGAAAAAGAGUGGAUAAAAGGCAAGAAAAAAUAUUUGCUAUUAUCACUAUGUAAAACAAUAAAUUUUCAAUUAAAAAAAGAAAAGAAAAAAUGAACAUAAAUUAUGAAUGAGCAUCAUAGUUCAAGCCAGAGAAUCCCCGGACUGUAAAGUAAAUAGUGAUGAUCGAAAUUAAUAAUUAUUUACAUCGAGGAAAAUUGUUUGCCGAAAUAUCGGAUAUCGGUCGGGCCCGAUAUUCGAACCCGAUUAUCGAUUUCCAUUAAUAUCGUUAAAAAAUCGGCAAAGUCGUCAAUAUUUCGACCGAUAAAUCGCGAGUGGAGCUGACGCCGGAGCAACCGGAGGAGAAUUUCAAAAAAUCGCCGAUAUUUCGGUUCUUUUACCGAUUUUUCGGGAAAUUUCCCGAUAUUUCCUACCAGUCCAGCCCGCGCACAGGAUACAAAAUCUGUCCAAUUUUUUUUUUUUAAAAAAAACAUAAAAUGCUAUUUGGUCAUCUGAUCAUGAUUUGCAGGCAAAGGUUGUGUUUUUCAGCCUGGCUCAAAAAUCGUGGAUUUAGGGUUCGUGAAAUUUAAAUCCAAUGGCACAAGAGACCCCUAAAACAGAUCCAGAAAACACAGGGAGCAAAAGAAAAGCAAUUUUUAUGGUUUUCUUUGGGGGGUUUUGCAUGCAUUUUCUCGGAAAUCAAACGAGGAUGAAUUUUCCCGGAAAUCGAAUGGGGGAUGGAUUUUCUUGGGAAUCAAACGGGGGUUGCAAAAAUAAUAAUAAUAACAUGAUUAGAUUAGUACCUGCGAGGAUUGAGAGUGGCAGAGGAAAAUAGGGCUUUUGUAGGGAUUCUGUCGCCUGGAGGACUACUUCAGAAAAGGCCUUCUUGAUGCGCGAGUGAGAGAAGUGUGUGCCUUUUGACUUUUAGAUUUAGUAGAGAUAAAAGAAAAUAAACAAAUGAUGAGAACAAUUUUCCUCUGCCUAUAUAAAUAAUUAUUAAUUAUCCACCUUUAUUUUGAUCAUUAAAUAAAUUAAUAUUAAUAAAAAGGUUGUUACUACGUAUUUUAAAUAAAAUUUAAAAAGUUAAAUUUUAAAUAAAAUAUUUUAUAUAAAUUAAUUUAAUUUUUCAUUUAAAAUAUAAUAAAAUAUAUUUUAAUAAAAGUAUUUUUACCUAAAUGACAACUUUUUCAUAAAAAAUUAAUAAUAUUUCUUUCAAAUAUAUUAUAUAUACUUCUAAAUUUUUAUUUAAUUUUACCACCAAAUCUUAUUAUUAUUUAAAUAUUAUUAAAUUUAGGGUUUGAAUGCAUUAAAUAUUCCAAUAAACAAGAUUUAAAAUUUAUGGUAUGAAAGAAACAUUUUUUUUUCCUUGAAGAUUUAAAAUUAAUGAAAAUAUUUUAUUAAUAUAUAUAUAUAUAUAUAUAUAUAUUCAUUGUACUUAUUAAUGGAAAAUAUUCCAACAAAAAGAAUAAGAAAUUUGUGAUAUGAAAUAACAAUUUUUUUUCCUGAAAGAAUAAAAUAUUUUACUAAAAACAAUAUUUGAAAUUUGUGGUUCAGAAGAAACAUUUUUUUUUCCCUGAAAUUUGUAAUUAAUGGAAAUGUAUGCAUAAAACACUCCAUAAGUGAAAAUAUUAGCAAAUGUUAGGUUAGAAAAGAUAAAUAAUUACUAUAAAAUUAUUGAUUCUUUAAGUGAAAAUUAUCGCAUACUUUAGAAAACAUAAACAAUUACCAUAAAAUUAUUGCAAUGGUGAUUGUCGAGUAUGCCCACUGCACCACUCAUCAACUUAUAUUAAAAAACAGAUAAAUAUUUAAAUGCAUUAAAUAUAAUAAUUUUUAAAAUUAUAAAUAAUAAGAACCCCAUUAAUAUUUAGAUAUAAUUUAGGUUGAUUUUACCUUUAAAAAAUUUAGGUUGAUUUUCCCUUUAAAAAAAUUAGAGCUAAAUAUAGAUACACUUAAAAUGUUAAUGGAAAAUAUUUAUUGUACUUAUUAAUGGAACAUGCCCAACUGCCCCCACUUUCUCCCAUUUUAGUUGUAACCCUCGUCACGCAUGGUUCAAAGUCGCAGUAUCGAUCACUGACUCUGAGGGUUUUGAGGCGUAUCAAUUUGGUAUCCAGCGAUACGUAAAAUAAGUUAAUUAGAAAAUUCAAAAAAUUAUGUAAAUCAUAAGAAAAUAUAUACAAUUAAAUAAGCUCGAAAAAUUAAUAAAAUAAAAUUGUCUCACAUUUAACAUUAUUUAAAUAGUUAUAAAAGUACUUGCUCAAAGUUAUUUAUGAUAAUGCUAAUAAAAGAAAAUUAUUUUAUUUCAAAUAUAAUAACAUUUUUACUAACAAACAUACAAUACAAUAAUCAAUUCCAUGUUGAAUGACGAGGGGGUUCGAAAUCAUCAUCAUCAGUCCUACGACGAGUAUACAAAUUGGGGUGGCAAUUCUCGUAGUGAGGAUAUGGUAUAUGUUGGCUGAGAUGAUUGGCUUGAUGAUCCAUAAUAAGGGAAAUAUGGUUUUGAAGGUUGUUCGGGAUCAACACCAUAUUGAUAGUAUCCAAAACCUCAACAAGCAAUGUUAUUGCUACUAGAAGAUUGAUCAUAUCCAUAUGAAUCACUAGCUUGUGUUCCAGUAUUUGAAUAUCCCUCUGGAUGCAUCAUUGGAAAUCGAUUAAAAUCAUUUCUACUAAAAGUGCUAGAAGAGCUAUCACAGUCUCUAAAGGUGUGAUAUGAUCUAUCAUCUACCCCUCUGAAAUACGACCUUGAUCUUACACCCAAGUUCUGUAAGUGCUCAUCGAUACAAUGAUAAUUUGAUCUAUGAUAAUCAUGCCCACUAGAAUAAUCAUCAUCAUUGGGAAAUGUAGUUAGUCUUUCCAAAUGCUUUCAGUGUUCCCAUAUCCUUGGUCGAUAUCCAUGAUCUGUAUCUUGCGUGGCAUAGUAAUUUUCACCUCAUUGUGCCCAUGACAUGUCAGGAUCUACUUGACUAACAUAACCGCCCCCAGUGCUACCAUCUCCUCCAGUACCUUCACCAGUGCUACCAACUCCUCUACUGCCCCCACUAGUGCCACCACCCCGCCUACUGCCCUCAUUGUCACCAUCAUCACUAUUAGAAUUUGAAGAAAUUUUUCUAGGAGUCUUACCUUUACGGUGGGAAUCAACAUCUCUUUCUUGUGUAGCAUUACUUAUACGCCUACUAACUCUACAAUUUGUGGCACCAUCAUCUUCAUGAACUGUUUCUCUACCUUCUUCAUUAGUGGGAAGACCUUUAUCCAACCAAUCCAAAUUAUCAGAUGAUAAAAUAGGCUCCUCUCCUUCUCGUAUCCACUCAUCGAAUAUAUCAUCAUCAUUAAAAAUAUGAUUCAGAUCAAUUGGAUUGUAUAAAUCAUCAUUGUUUUGCUCUUGCAUCAAAUUCUUAACUCGAAGUCACAUAUUGUAGUGCACAUAAACUAACUUAUGCAACUUUUUCAUUGCCAAACAGUUGCGCAACUUUGUGUGAAUCAAUGAUCAUGUGCUCCAAUUUCUUUCACAACCUAAUGAAGAACAAGUUUGGCUUAAAAUUUUAACAGCAAUUUUUUAUAAAUGUUGACCUUCGUCGCCAUAGUUGUUCCACUAUUCAGCUAUAAUAAAGAAAAUGCAUACUUAUUAAUCACUAUGAUACAUUUAACAAAAAAUGAUGAUAAUUUAUUAUUUGUAAUAGAUGUAAAUGUAUUGAGUACCUAGAAGAGAUUGAUUUAUUGCUUUCUUUGUAAGUGCACUUCCAAAUUCUCAUCUACCGUCAACAAAUAAUUUCACCUACAUCAUUAACAUUUUUUUUUUUGUUAAUGCACAUUACAUAUACAAAAUGUAUUAUUUAAAGGUCACAAACUAUUAUUAUACCUUGUUAAUAGCUUUUGCUUGUCUAUCCAAAUUUAGCUCUAAUCUCUUGAUAACUUCCUUUAAUCCAACGUUAAUUUCCGGAUGAUUGGAGAAAUGCUUUGAAUAUUGAAACAUUGGAUUUAAAAAAUAUGUUGGCAUAAGUUAAAUAAUAAUCGAUUUAUAAUAAUUUGUACUUGAAAAAAAUAAUAAAAAAUAUAUAAAUAAUUUUUUUAUUACUUGCAGCAUGCAAAUGGCUGUGCAAUUGACCUUCCCACUUUCUAUCAAUGACUUCUCAAUACUUUUCUCAUUGCUUGACCGAUGCCUUGAUAGCCAAUUUAGCUCUAUCCAUUGCUUCAUAAAUGAUUGAUACUAUGGACUUUUUAUCUUGAUCAACCAAUUUCAAUAUUUUGACGAGAGGUUCCAUAAUUGUUUGAACUUCCCCCGCCUUCUUUCAAAAUCAAUCAGUUAAGAUAAGGUUGGAUACCUUAUCUCUUAGACUUUUUAUGUUCCUAUCUUUAUUGAAUUCACGCCACUUAUUUGUUGUGUACAUUCUCUUCAAAUCAGCCUCAUAACGUAUAAGACUUUCAAAUGAAAUGAAUUCAGUGGCAAAAUGAGUUAUUCCGGGCCUUAACAGAUUUCUAUCAUUGGUGAACUCUUUCAUCAAAUUCACUACUUUCACGCUAUUAUAAAUAAAUCAUGUGAUCAUCUUAGCUUGAUCUAAUGUAUUUUUAAUUUGCUUCAUGCUUGCAAUAUCUUCAAGCAUUAAAUUAAUACAGUGGGCUGCACAAGGAGACCAAAACAAAUGUUUUCGUUUCUCCAUCAACAACAUACUAACUGCUUUAAAACUUGUCUCAUUAUCAGUGACUACUUGAACAACAUUUUUCUCCCCAACCUCCUCUACAACUUAUCCAUAAAGGAAAAUAUGUAGUCUACUAUCUUAGGUAUGUUGGUAGUGUCAACUGAAGAAUGGUAUAUCAUACUUCUAUCACAAUAAUUUCGUGGUUUUGACUUUUACUGCAAUGACAGCUAUCCUGUAAGUGGUAGAGCAAUCAUUGCAGUUUAGGGUGGUUGGCAGGUACCUUCAGGUAUUACAUCAUGAUGUAGUUGCUCGUCACUUCAAUCUGUUGAAGGUAUGGGGCAGUGUGUGACAGUCCACUAAUGUAGAUGUGAGGAUGAGAGAAGGUCCCAUUAGCUAUUCUUAUGUCAAAUGGAAAUCAUUUCUCGUAACAAGGAGGACUUGAAGGUUGGCUGGAAGACAUCGCCCAUCUAAGGAGUCCAGUGCCAUUUGCCGCAUGUCUGUAUGGCCGGAUAGAAGGCUUCGGGUACUUUGGCAACCAUCCGGACAGCUCUAGGGGUGUGCCAUGUGGACUGCUACAUGGAUUGACACAUGGAAGAAGGCUCCCACAGAGUGCCCAAUUGGACCCAUAUUGUGGAUGUGCCUGUUUUCAGUUCCCAUUGUGGUGCCUUGUCCUUUGCCUCAAUUCAGGAAACCUACUAAAUCGAGACCAUUCCAUAAUCCAGACCGGGAAAUCGCAGCUGAUGGAGGCGCUUGCUGAGUCUGGUUACCAGGUUCAAUCUACCUUGGUCAUUCCAAAUCCACCGUCAAUGAUAGUGGGUGAGUUGUUGGUCUUGUUUGGGAUUACGUGGGUGAAAAACUCAGGUUGUGCAUCAAGCUCAUGACUGUUGAGGUCUUAGAAAGAACCAAAGUUUCUGCAGUUCAUGAAAGAGGAGCUUUUACUAUGGAAGGAGCUGGAGGGGAUGAGACCAAAUCCAGCUCGAGAAGACUCUUUAUUUGGGAUUUGCUGUUUUGGUAUGGAGAACUGGUCUUCUUCAGGUUUCAGGUCAAAUAUGGGUAGCAUGAGGAGCAACAACCCUUGUAUCCCAAUUUUUACUACGGAGAUAUUGAGAGACCUUCCUCAACAGUGAGUUCAAGUCUUGAGGAUGAGAUUUCGAGGAUUUCUGAAAGUUGAAAGCAUUAGGUGCUUAAUUGGUCCGUCAAUCUCCACCUCCCCUAUUUCUGAGUAAUCAUUCUCAAAGGUCUGCAGAGCUCCCUGGACGGAAAAUGUGUAAAGCCUGUGUAGGGACCCCUCCCCCUGAUGACACGUGGCGCGCAUCGCUAUCCGGAGCAACUCUAUUCGAACUCCCCAAGAGGACAUGUGGCGCGCUACCCUAUCCGGACUCCCCAGGGGAGGCACACGACACUCGCAAGUGUCAUGCCCGGACGACAGUAUAUCCUACCCGGAUAUAUUGUCCGGAUCAUUGACCGUAGCGAGCAAGCCUUGAUGAGUCAUCCCCGACAGCCUGCCACAGCCCACGUUCUACCGCCUGCAGAACGAAAGGAUAGGAUCGAUGGCAAGUCGCCUCCCAUGAUCUCUGACAGCCGUCUGUAGGGUGAUGAUGACCCUGCCAUCACCUAGAAGCAUCAUGACGAGCCAAAAAGUCUUCCCACCAUUAAAGAGGGAGGCAGAGCUUUUGACACUAUAUAAAAGGGUCUUCACACAAGGAAGAAGGUAAACUCACUAUCCUUGAAAAAGGCCAAUAGCUUAAUCUCUCGAGCCAUGGCUAACAAAACCAUCGGAGGGUGUGUCCGGACACCCUGUCCGGACAUCUUUUGCAGGGAAGACUGAACCAGAACUCAAUCUUGGUUGAAAGCGUGCGUCCACUUGGCAGCUACGUGGAUCACUGGGACGCAAGGCAUCAACAGCCUAGGCGGUGAACUGGUAAGGGUAGGACAAAUGGUUGGAAAAUCCCAUUUCAGGUUUAGCCUGAAGCCCAUACCCAUGGUGUUUCUCAGAGCCCAUCAAAUAUUCACAAAGAUUGAAGAAAAUAAGUAGACCAUACACUCUGGAUUUCUCAUUGCCAUUCUUCAGUUUACCAACUUUUUGACAAGAGUCUAUGGUCCAGUAUAAAAUCACUGGUUCCCUUCUCAUUCUUCUCAGCAAUAUCCAAACCCGAGCAACUCUUUUCAUGCAACACGUGUCUAUUCACAAUGGACUGCAACAAUUCAACAUCAUAGCCAACUUGCCCACCAUGAAGACUAUUAGUUUGAGCUCCACAUCUACAGAAACUUGUGUUGGAUCAUAUUUCCAUACUGCCUUCCCAAAUCUUGAAUUCCCAUUAAUGCUGCCAUAUCCAAGCCAAAAUUCCCUAAGACUCCAUGGUGGUGCAAUAUUUUUGGUCUUAAACUAUCUCAAGUUUCAUACUAUCUAUUAAUUAUUCCUACUCAUCUGAAGCAAUUUCCUAGUGAGUUUUUUUAUCCUGAUUUUAUAGGGUUUCUAACCUUUUGUCAGUUUUUGUUUAAUCCUUAUAGAUAUGUUGAAGAAUUAUAUGAUACGAACAUGCAAAUUCAGGUUAAGAAAAAAUUGAGGCCACUUUGGGAAUUUAUAUUUUUAAAUUUUUUUAGUUAUUUUACCAACAUCAUAGUAGUAUUAGUGAUAAAUGGUUUUAGAUUUCUCAAUUAUUGAAAAAAGGGUAAGAGCCAUGCCCCUACUUUGAUGGAUUUGAGAUGUGGUUGGAACCAAUAAAGUUUGGAAUUUGAAUUGUUAGAGCUAUCAUUUGUUUCCCAAAUUGGAUAUGGAUAUACUUUUGCCUCAUAUCAUUUGGGGAAUAUUUAUAUCAAUAAUAUUGUGUCAUUGUAGAUGAGGUACUUUUCAGAAAAGAAAAAUAUAUAUAUAACUAGUUUUACAAUCAUGUUGGUUAAGGAGCGAGGAUGAGUGUGCCUACUUAGGCCUGCACACACCCUUCAAUCAUAUUGUUUCUUUUUAUCUCUCUCAAUGCAAAUCGCUUUCUUUUUAUCUCUCCCAAGGAAGAUUAUAGAUACAACUUGAUGAUGAGUAGUGGAAAAAUUUUCAUGGUGAUUGAGAUUAACAUGGACAUUGGGUUGAAGUAUUUCCUAUAACUAUGGUAGAUUGUCGCUUUCAUUGAACAUAAUUACCUUUUGUAUUUUUUUGCUAUUAUAAUCAUAGACCAUAUGCAUUUGAGUCCAUCAAUUCUCCUGUUUUUAGAAUUUACUCUAUGCAUCCUAUGGGUCUACUAUGUGUCUACUUUUUAAAUAUUUGUUUUUUUAUUGAAAUGAGGGUUCCUACGUUUUUUUUGUGCUGAUUGGUACAAGUUGAAAUUAUUGCAGUUCAUCUACCAAUGACUUAAAUGUCAUGGUCUAGAUGGCUCUGUUAUGAACCUUAGAGCUUUGCAUCAACAAUUUCGAUGUGAUCCUUAUAUGUGGCAUGAAGCUCUUUUAGGCAAGAUAAUUGCUGAUGGUAUCCAAUUAUUUGUUUCAAUUGACUCACUUUUUUUUAAGGUUAAUUUGAGGCAAUCUCUGGUUUGAAGGUUAACUUGAAUAAAAGUGAGUUGAUCCUUGUGGGAAGGGUGGAGAACGUGGAUGAUUUGGUUUGUGAGCUGGGCUACAAGGUGGGUAGUUUACCUUCUACUUACUUUUGGAUGCCUUUGGGGGCAUCUUUUAAACAAUGGGACAAAAGCAGAAUUAGAUGUAUAAACGUCCCCAAAAUGGAUUCAAAAUUAAGGAAUGGAAAUGGAGGCUAUUGAUUACUACCCAAAAAGUGUUAUUUUACACCUUUAAGUCAUUAUGUUUUAAGCACUUUUGUGUAGUAAUUCUUCAUCUUUAUUCCAAUUGGCAUGUUAAGGACCUAGCAAUGACUCCUAAUCAUAUUUGUGGCUAGUUUUAGUGUUUUUGACAUCUUUUUAGAUCAUUAAGACAAGCCAUCCAAAGGAGAAAAGCAAAGAAAACCAAAGAGAAGCAAAGAGAAGCAAGGAGGAAAACAGAGGACAGCAGCUGCAGUCUUCUUUGGCACUUUUGGAGCACUUCCCGAAGUCCAUUUUUUACAUUCUAUAUACCAUUUCAAAGCUCAGGAAGUCAAAAAUCCAACGCUUCAAACCGUGUACGAUUUGGAGCUGAAANNNNNNNNNNNNNNNNNNNNNNNNNNNNNNNNNNNNNNNNNNNNNNNNNNNNNNNNNNNNNNNNNNNNNNNNNNNNNNNNNNNNNNNNNNNNNNNNNNNNUUAAAUACAGGUAGUUGAAGUUCAUAAAUGGCUUUUAAAUCCAAAGUUUGCUUUUAAAUCCCUUAGAAUCACUUUGAAUGGCCAAUACAUGGUAAGCUUCAGGUCUCUGUGGAUGCUUAUUGCUAGAUCCAUAUCAGUCCAUUAGUUAUCAUGUACGAGCCAUUGGAAAGUGGUUCAAGGUGAAGACCCAUAGUGUCUAAAGCCAUUAAUGGACCUUGACUACCAUUUCUAUUGAUUUUUAUGGAUUAAAUCUUCAUUGUUAAACCUAUACCGGUUCGGGAAAUAACUAUAGGUUAAAUCCCCAAUGCGAGGAGAAAAAUCCGGAAUUUUCCACUUUGCAUUCUAAACUUGAUCCUAGCAAUCCUGAGCUCCGGGAGACUUUCUUUCUUCCAUUUUUAAUUAGUUUAUGUUAAUUUAGUUUCAAACACUUUCAAAACAAAUUUUAUUUUCUUUUAAACUCUAAAUUUUUUAUAAAGGAAAUCAUUAAAUUCAAUUCCUAAUCAUGAGUAUAUCACUGGUAGAAUGAAAACCCAUCACAGAGUUCGACCUUAGAGCCACUAUACUAUAGUAGCUUUGCUACACUAGUAUGAGGUCAUAGGUUUUAUAAAUGUUUUUGAUUAAAUGACCCGACUGGAUUUACAUACGCGAAUCAAAAUGGCGCCGUUGCCGGGGAUGGUGCCACGAUACAGUGAUACAACCUUUUAGAGGCUACUUGUGAUUUUCAUCACAAGUUUGGUGAAUUCCUUUUUCACUAACUUUUUUUUUUUUAUUGUAGAAUUUCUUUUGUUUUCUUUCUAACUUUAACUUUCUUCUAGUUUUUUUUUUGUUUUUGUUGUCUUUGUUUUGUUUUCAGGCAAGUAGUGAUUUGUGCAUGCCCUAUUGGAUUCGGGACCAAGAGGGAAGAUUAGUAAGGAUUGAGAAUCCUUAAGACACAGAGUUGGAUAUCUGUGUAAACAUCAUGGACCCUCCACAAGAGGAUCAGAAUUCUCAACAAGGUCAAGGGGGUAAUCCAAAUGCAUAUCUAUCCAUGAAGGAUAGAAUACACCCACCAAGGAUGAGUGCACCCUCAUGCAUCAUACCUCCUCUUGAGCAGCUGAUUAUAAGGCCCCAUAUUGUGCCCCUUCUACCAAAUUUCCAUGGAAUGGAGAGUGAGAAUCCAUAUGCCCACAUCAAGGAGUUUGAGGAGGUGUGCAAUACCUUUAGAGAGGGAAGAGCUUCAAUAGACUUGAUGAGACUCAAGUUAUUCCCUUUCACUUUGAAGGACAAGGCAAAAAUAUGGCUUAAUUCUUUAAGGCCAAGGAGCAUAAGGAAUUGGGUUGAUCUUCAGGCCGAGUUUUUGAAGAAAUUUUUCCCCACCCAUAGGACCAAUGGGUUGAAGAGACAAAUCUCAAACUUUUCUGCAAAAGAAAAUGAGAAGUCCCAUGAAUGUUGGGAAAGGUAUAUGGAGGCCAUCAAUGCUUGUCCUCAUCAUGGCUUUGAUACAUGGCUCUUGGUGAGCUAUUUCUAUGAUGGGAUGUCUUCCUCCAUGAAGCAAAUUCUUGAAACCAUGUGUGGGGGAGAUUUUAUGAGUAAGAAUCCGGAAGAAGCCAUGGAUUUUUUAAGUUAUGUAUCUGAGGUAACAAGAGGAUGGGAUGAGCCCAACUCAAAGGAAUUGGGAAGGAUGAAAGCUCCUGUAAAUCCAAAGGGUGGAAUGUACAUGUUAAGUGAAGACAUGGACAUGAAAGCUAAGGUGGCAACAAUAGCAAGGAGGUUGGAAGAACUUGAGUUGAAAAAGAUGCAUGAAGUCCAAGCCAUUUCCGAGACUCAAGCCCAUGCCAUGCCAUGCACCAUUUGCCAAUCAUGUGAUCAUGUGGUAGAUGAGUGCCCAACCAUGUUAGCUGUGAGGGAGAUGUUAGGUGAUCAAGCCAAUGUUGUGGGGCAAUUUAGGCCUAACAACAAUGCACCUUAUGGAAACACCUAUAAUUCAAGCUAGAGAAACCAUCCAAAUUUUUCUUGGAAACCAAGACCACCUCCAUACCAACCACAAGCCCAAACUCAAGCACCUCAACAAACCUCUUCAGUGGAGCAAGCCAUUGCGAACCUAAGUAAAGUCAUGAAUGACUUUGUGAGUGAACAAAGGGCAAUCAACUCCCAAUUGCACCAAAAGAUUGAGAAUGUUGAGAGUUCUCUAAAUAAGAGAAUGGAUGGGAUGCAAAAUGAUCUAUAUCAAAAUAUAGAUAAUAUUCAAUACUCCAUCUCUAGGCUUACCAACCUCAACACAGUGAAUGAGAAAGGAAAGUUCCCCUCUCAACCAAGCCAAAAUCCUAAGGGUGUUCAUGAAGUUGAAACCCAAGAGGAGGAUUCUUCAAAGUUGAGGGAGGUCAAAGCUGUGAUCACCUUGAGGAGUGGAAAAGAGGUUGAUCAACCCUUGCCUAAGGUGAGGCAAGAUAAAGAACUCUUGUCAAAGAAAACCUUGGUUAAAGAGAGCCAUAACCAAGAAGAGGAGAGUGGGAAGAAAAGUGCAUCCAAAUCAAGCAUUGAAGAAGAGCCGAGGAUAGUGAUUAAAGAAGAUAUGAUGAAGAAACAUAUGCCUCCCCCUUUUCCUCAAGCUUUACAUGGAAAGAAGGAAAUCAAUAAUUCAUCAGAAAUUCUUGAAGUCUUGAGACAAGUGAAGGUGAAUAUACCCUUACUUGAUAUGAUCAAGCAAGUCCCCACAUAUGCAAAGUUUCUAAAGGACUUGUGCACGGUUAAGAGAGGGCUACAUGUGACAAAGAAUGCAUUCCUCACUGAGCAAGUAAGUGCUAUCAUUCAGAGUAAGUCUCCAGUUAAGUAUAAAGAUCCGGGUUGCCCCACCAUUGCAGUCAACAUUGGAGGGACACUUGUGGAGAAAGCUUUACUAGACUUGGGGGCAAGUGUGAAUUUGCUCCCAUACUCUAUGUACAAGCAACUGGGACUUGGAGGAUUGAAGCCCACAACCAUCACUCUCUCCUUAGCUGAUAGGUCUGUCAAAUCCCAAGGGGGGUGAUAGAGGAUGUUCUAGUUCAAGUGGACAAAUUCUACUAUCCCGUGGAUUUUGUUGUGCUUGAUACUGAUCCCACUGUUAAGGAAGCCAAUUAUGUGCCAAUCAUCCUUGGGAGACCUUUCCUGGCAACCUCUAAUGCCAUCAUCAAUUGUAGAAAUGGGGUGAUGCAACUCACAUUUGGAAACAUGACCUUGGAAUUAAACAUAUUCCAUCUUUGCAAGAGGCAUCUUCACCCAGAUGAGGAUGAAGGAUUGGAGGAGGUGUGCCUGAUCAACACCUUGGUUGAAGAGCAUUGUGACAAGAGCUUAGAAGAGAGCUUGAAUGAAAGCCUUGAAGUGUUUGAAGAAAGGUUACCUGAACCCUCUGAUGUGCUAGCUAUCAUGUCUCCUUGGAGGAGACGGGAAGAGAUCUUACCACUGCUCAAUAAGGAGGACUCACAAGGAGCAGCUAUGGAGGACCCUCCAAAGCUUGUUUUGAAGCCACUUCCUGUUAAUUUGAAGUAUGCAUACUUGGAGGAAGAUGAGAAAUGUCCAGUGGUGGUCUCUUCAAAUCUCACAAGUGAUCAAGAGGAUAGUCUUUUGGGAGUCCUCAGAAAAUGCAAGAAAGCCAUUGGAUGGCAAAUUUCUGAUCUGAAAGGGAUUAGUCCUUUGGUAUGCACCCACCAUAUCUACAUGGAGGAAGAUGCAAAACCAGUGAGGCAACCCCAGAGGAGGUUGAAUCCUCACAUGCAAAAGGUGGUGACGGGUGAAGUUCUGAAGCUACUACAAGCAGGGAUCAUAUAUCCCAUUUCAGAUAGCUUGUGGGUGAGCCCCACCCAAGUAGUUCCAAAGAAAUCUAGAAUCACUGUGAUCCAGAAUGAGAAAGGGGAGGAAGUCUCUACACGUCCUACCUCAGGAUGGAGGGUGUGUAUAGACUACAGGAGGUUGAAUUUAGUGACUAGGAAGGACCAUUUCCCAUUGCCUUUCAUGGACCAAGUCCUUGAGAGAGUCUCAGGACAUCCUUUCUACUGUUUUCUAGAUGGUUACUCGAGGUACUUCCAAAUAGAGAUUGAUUUGGAAGAUCAAGAAAAAACAACCUUCACAUGCCCCUUUGGUACUUUUGCGUAUAGGAGAAUGCCCUUUGGUUUAUGUAAUGCUCCUCCAACUUUCCAAAGAUGUAUGCUAAGCAUCUUCAGUGAUAUGGUGGAACGCAUCAUGGAAGUGUUCAUGGAUGACAUCACUGUAUAUGGAAGUUCUUUUGAGGAGUGUUUGUUGCACUUAGAAGCUGUUCUCCACAGAUGUAUUGAGAAAGACCUAGUGCUAAAUUGGGAGAAGUGUCAUUUUAUGGUACAACAAGGCAUUGUCUUAGGACAUGUAAUAUCCAAAAAUGGCAUUGAGGUAGACAAGGCAAAGGUGGAGCUAAUUGUUAAGUUGCCACCUCCCACAAAUGUUAAAGGAAUUAGGCAAUUCCUAGGACAUGUCGGGUUCUAUAGGAGGUUCAUUAAGGAUUUCUCAAAAAUCUCAAAGCCUCUUUGUGAACUCUUGGUAAAUGAUGCCAAGUUUGUGUGGGAUGAGAAGUGUCAGAAGAUUUUUGAGGAAUUGAAACAAUUCCUCACAACUGAACCAAUAGUGAGAGCCCCAAAUUGGAAAUUACCUUUUGAGGUAAUGUGUGAUGCAAGUGAUCUUGCUAUGGGGGCUGUUUUGGGGCAAAGAGAGGAUGAAAAGCCUUAUGUGAUUUAUUACGCGAGCAAAACUUUGAACGAGGCUCAAAGGAACUACACAACUACUGAGAAGGAGUUGUUGGCAGUAGUUUUUGCCUUGGAUAAGUUUCGUGCCUAUUUAGUAGGGUCCUCUAUAGUGGUGUUCACUGACCAUUCCGCUUUGAAAUACUUGCUAACCAAGCAAGAUGCCAAGGCAAGAUUGAUAAGAUGGAUCAUUUUGCUCCAAGAAUUCAAUCUCCAAAUCCGGGAUAAAAAGGGAGUAGAAAAUGUGGUAGCUGACCAUUUGUCAAGACUUGUGAUAGCACAUGACUCACAUGGUCUGCCUAUCAAUGAUGACUUCCCUGAGGAGUCUCUCAUGUCAAUAGAUGUAGCUCCUUGGUAUUCUCACAUUGCAAAUUACUUGGUUACUGGGGAAGUUCCAAGCGCGUGGAGUGCCCAAGACAAGAGGCAUUUCUUUGCUAAGAUCCAUGCCUAUUAUUGGGAGGAGCCUUUUCUCUUCAAAUAUUGUGCGGAUCAAAUCAUAAGGAAAUGUGUUCCUGAACAAGAGCAAUCAGGAAUUCUUUCCCAUUGCCAUGAUAGUGCAUGUGGAGGUCAUUUUUCCUCCCAGAAAACAGCUAUGAAAGUGAUCCAAUCAGGGUUUUGGUGGCCCUCUCUUUUCAAGGAUGCCCACUCUAUGUGCAAGGGAUGUGAUCGGUGUCAAAGGCUUGGUAAGCUUACACGCCGAAAUAUGAUGCCCUUGAACCCUAUUUUGAUAGUGGAUGUCUUUGAUGUUUGGGGGAUAGACUUCAUGGGACCAUUUCCAAUGUCAUUUGGACAUUCCUACAUUUUGGUGGGAGUGGAUUAUGUCUCUAAGUGGGUUGAAGCAAUCCCAUGUAGGAGCAAUGAUCAUAGGGUGGUUCUUAAAUUCCUCAAGGAUAACAUCUUUGCAAGAUUUGGAGUGCCUAAGGCCAUUAUAAGUGAUGGAGGAACCCACUUUUGCAAUAAACCUUUUGAGACUCUUCUAGCCAAAUAUGGGGUUAAGCACAAGGUAGCUACACCUUAUCACCCUCAAACAAGUGGCCAAGUUGAGUUAGCCAACCGGGAGAUCAAGAAUAUAUUAAUGAAGGUGGUGAAUGUGAAUAAGAAUGAUUGGUCUAUUAAGCUCCUAGAUUCCUUAUGGGCGUAUAGGACCGCUUACAAGACCAUUCUUGGAAUGUCUCCUUAUCACCUUGUUUAUGGCAAAGCAUGCCAUCUUCCAGUGGAGAUUGAAUACAAAGCAUGGUGGGCAAUCAAAAAACUCAACAUGGAUUUGACAAGAGCCGGGUUGAAAAGAUGUUUGGAUUUGAAUGAAUUGGAGGAAAUGAGAAAUGAUGCUUACCUCAAUUCAAAAAUUGCAAAGGAGAGGUUGAAGAAAUGGCAUGAUCAAUUGGUAAAUCAGAAGAAUUUUGCCAAGGGGCAAAGAGUCUUGCUUUAUGACUCUAAGCUUCAUCUUUUUCCGGGAAAAUUGAAAUCAAGAUGGACGGGUCCUUUCAUAAUUCAUGAAAUGCAACCAAAUGGAGUAGUGGAACUACUCAACUUCAAUAGCACUCGAACUUUCAAAGUUAAUGGGCAUCGUCUCAAGCCCUAUAUCGAAUCUUUUUCCCGAGACAAGGAGGAAUUCAUUCUCCUUGAUCCACCUCCAACAUGAAAACACUUGGUUCAUGGUUGAACUUAGUCUCUCCAAAGACUAAAAAGUUCAUCCUCUUUUUGUUAUCUUUUAAGUUGAUUUUAGUUUAAUCUAAUGUUUUCUUGUGUUUAUGCAUGUUUUGAUUUCUAUUUUUGACUUUAAUUUCAUUCUAAUGUGGUUUGAAUUUUUUUUUUUUUUUGUUUAAAUGUAGGUAGGAAGGCUUGAAGGCUUGAAGAAUGAAGUCUUGGUGAAAACAAGGGAAAACAGGGGAGAAAAGACAAGACUCAACAAAAUUCGCAUACCCCCUUGUGGUGUGCGAAAAUUUCACACACCACUUACCCUGUGCGAAUUUGCUUUUGCACCACUUUUCAAAAAUUGCAUGCUCUCGGUCCCUUGUGCGAAUUUCACAGGAAUGCGAACCUUGUGCGAACCCUGUGCGAAUUCGUUUUUUGCGCCAAUUUUCAAAACCAUGCUCUCUGUCUUGGAGAAUCACAGGUAUGCGAAAAUUUCGCACACCAUUUUCCCCUGUGCGAAAUUCAUUUUUCUCUUUAAAAGCUAUGUUCUCCACUUCAAAGUCUUAGCUUCUUCUUCAAUUCUCUCAAAACCUCUCUUCCGAUCACCCAUUUCCAUCCACAAAGCCCCUCUUCUUCAUCAUUCCUCAUCAUCAACACCACCAUGGCAGCCCAUCUCCAUAGCUCCAUUCCAUAGCCGCGCAUUCACUAUUCACCACUUCCCAUUUUCGGCAAUUUCACCUCCUUCCACCAUCAAAAUCCUUUCAAAUCUUCACCCAACCCUCUAAAUCCAUCCACAAUCCAAUCCCAAACCUUGUUCUUACCAAACCAUAAGCAUUCAAGCCAUGGUUUCUUCAUAAGAAACCCAUUGCCGCCGGCCAUGGGAGCUCCCAAUCUUCAAUUUUCCUCUUGAAAAGCUCCAAUUUCCAAGCCUAUUCACCAUGACAAAUCUUUUUCAUACCUAAGCCAGCUUUUCCCACCCUCAAAGGCCACAAAUUUUCACCAUCUCAAACAAACCACAAUUCUUCAAACGCGCGGGUGAAUAGUACCCUGUGCGAAAAUUUCGCACCCCCCCCCCUUGUGCGAAAAUUUCAGCUUUUCCAUCCCUACCUUCCCUAAUCCCAAACCUCUGAGCCUCAUUUCAUCGCUUCAUCAUGCCUAAGACCCGAGGAGGAUCUACCACAGCUCCCCAGAGCAGUCAGAGAGCCGUCCCUGUGCAGGCCCCACUAGAUGCACCCUCACAUUUACCUGAUUCUGCCCCUUAGAGCAGAUACCAUACGAGGAGAGCAUCUGCCACGUCUGUGGCCCCUCCACAAAUUCCACCUCGGAGUCCUCCUACAAAGAAAGCCAAGACUUCAGAGCCAAGAGAGUCCUCCAGAGCACCUCGAGAUUCACAGUCUCAGCCUUCUUCCGCCAGGCGCCCUAGACCCAGCUUACCCAUUGAGGGCAACUCCGAUUGCCGAUUGAGAGACUUUCAUGUCGAAGCAUAUUUCGAUCACUCUCUUAUGCGACAGCAGCCUGAGUUGCGGGAUUCAUACCGCCUACUUGAGAGGUACCAUCUUAUACCCUUUAUGACUCUGCCCCAGUUCUUUUAUCCUCGAGUAACUUUAGACUUUUACCAGUCUAUGACUACUCGUGGCGUCCCGGUACCAGCCUCAAUCCUUUUUACCAUUGAUGGACACCAGGGUAUUUUGGGGGCUAGACAGAUUGCCGAUGCCUUCCAUAUCCCUUUUGCACCAGCAGAUCCCGCUACAUUUAGACGCUGGGCCCCACUUUCUAAGUGGGACAUGGUUCAUAUCCUAUCUCGAGGGACAUCUUCCCAGAGGACCAUUUUGAGGAGAGAGCUUCCCCCAGAGAUGCUCCUAGUUGAUGUGGUGCUUCGCGCCAAUCUUUUUCCUCUUCAGCAUAAAGUGCAGAGACGAGGGGCCAUUAUGGAGGCAUUAUUCCGUAUCUCUGAGGGCUACUAUUUUGGCCCCCAUCAUUUGAUUAUGGCCGUUCUCCUCCAUUUUGAGGAGAAGGUGCAUACGCGGCGUCUUGCGAGGGCAGACUCCAUGCCUUUACUUUUCUCUUGGCUGCUAUGCCAUGUUUUGGCGCAUAUGGGUUUUCCUGCAGACCCUCGUUCAGAGCCCCGCCACCAUUGUCGAGAGAGCUUCUCUCUUGACCAAUGGACUCAGAUAUGGCUCCAUCGCCAGUCCCCAGAACUUCCCGAGCCAAGGGAAGUCCCUCCUGCUCCGUCCACUUCAGACCCUCCACAGCCAGUACCGGAGGCAUCAUCAUCUGAUGCCCCACCUAUUGUUCCUCCUACAUCAGAGCCGCCCAUUACUAUCCCUGGUCUAGAGUAUCGUGCCUUGCUCGCUUCUUUCCAGACUUUGACCACUACUCAUACGACCAUUAUGGAGCGGAUGGACCACUUCCAACUUCAGCAGGACCAGCAGACUCUCAUUCUCUAUGAGAUUCAGCACCACCUCGGUCUUUCACCACCAGCUCCACCUGUAGCGGUUCCUUCCACAGUUGCAACGGAUGACCCCUCCUAUCCACCAGAGGAGCCUACUACUUGAUCAUACGAUCACUCCUCUUUUUUUUUUUUUUUUGUAUCUAUAUGCUACAUUUUUGGAUGUCUUAUAUAUUUUGGACCACUUUUAUACUGGGAUUGGAUGUAUUUCAUGUUUAUCUUGUAUAUUGUACUCUCUCAGUUUAUAUAGACAUCUUCUUUUUUGUGUAUUUUAGCUAUUCCAUUUUAUUUCCUCUAUUCAUCAAUCUUAUGAUUUUUCUUUUCUUCUGCAACAUGUGGUUUCUCCUGUUCAUUCAGGCUCCCUUACUAUCAGGAGGUAUCACUUCCUCCCUUUUAUUAUCUCUUGCUUUUGGAACAUUGGGGACAAUGUUCAUCCUAGUUGGGGGAGAGUUGAGGAAGUAAUUUGUUGAAUUUUUGGUUAAGUUAUUUUGCUAACAAUUUUUUUUUUUUUUUUGCAAACUCUCUUUGUUUUCUCAAAGAUAAAUUCUCAAAAGUAAAUGGGAGAAAUUAAAUUCUUAUCUUAUUGCCAUAGUCUCAGAGUUUGUAUUAUGCUUAUUAAAGUUGAUAAAUUGUUGAAGAUCCUUUUGAUUUCAAUCUUAAGUCUUCCACUCUAAUCUUUUCACACACUGAACACAUUAGAUUCCAGUUAUAAGAUGGAAAACUUUCUCACCCCCCUAAACUUAGGAAAUUUUCGACUUGGUGCCAUUGACUUCAUUCUAUUAGUGUUGGGACACCUUAUAAAAGGCCAAUGUGUCUUAUGAAUAAUUUUUGCUUCACUUGCUUUGAAACCCGAGCAAGGUCCGAGGGGUAUAUGGUGAAAAUCUUUAAAGCCUGGUGCCCUAAGCCUUUAUUGGUUGGGAGUCACCGACCUCACUGCUCGUUACAUGGGUGGAUGGGUGGAGUCCCUUUAAAAAAAAAGGUGCGUUCUUAGCCUUUUAUAUAUGAGUUAGUGUUGCUAAAGUUAGAGAAAAACCUUAGUUGGGGGGGAGAAUAUAGUUUGACAUACUAUAACUGGAAACUAAGCACCUUAACACUUAGAUUUUUGUGGAAGAUUAAGAAUUGAUCCGUUGGGAGUGGAAAUUAUUUUGAUACUCAAAUUUGCAUAAUGCCCGCUCUUAGCAAGUUGUGAUAGGUAAGUUAUUUGAUAACUCUUGUUGAUGAUUGAGUUUUAUAUCCUUGACUUGUCAUAUGAGAGUUUGAUCCAAUCAUGCCACUUGAUUAUUUUUUGGAGUGAUCAGCAUGAUUUUGUAAAUUAUUUUAUUAUCUAUUUUUCUUUCAUUUUCUCUCCUUCAUUGCUCAGGGACUAGCAAUGUGUCAGUUGGGGGGAGUGAUUACUACCCAAAAAGUGUUAUUUUACACCUUUAAGUCAUUAUGUUUUAAGCACUUUUGUGUAGUAAUUCUUCAUCUUUAUUCAAUUGGGCAUGUUAAGGACCUAGCAAUGACUCCUAAUCAUAUUUGUGGCUAGUUUUAGUGUUUUUGACAUCUUUUUAGAUCAUUAAGACAAGCCAUCCAAAGGAGAAAAGCAAAGAAAACCAAAGAGAAGCAAAGAGAAGCAAGGAGGAAAACAGAGGACAGCAGCUGCAGUCUUCUUUGGCACUUUUGGAGCACUUCCCGAAGUCCAUUUUUUACAUUCUAUAUACCAUUUCAAAGCUCAGGAAGUCAAAAAUCCAACGCUUCAAACCGUGUACGAUUUGGAGCUGAAACGAGAAAGAUAUGGCCUUCGUAAGACAACUGCUCCAGGUGUGCGAAUGGUGUGCGAAAUUCGCACACCCCCUUAGCUGUGCGAAUGGUGUGCGAAACUCGCACACCCCCCUCAGGUGUGCGAAAAUUCGCACACCCCAUGCGUGGUGCGAAUUUUCCUCUAUUUUUGCCGACUCCACUUUAGAUAUUUUCUUUUGUAUUUCUUGAUGUAAUUUCCUUUCUUCUCCUUGUAACAAGCCAAUCACAAGCUUUGCUUUUGUAAAAACUAUAUAAGGGGUGGAAAUCACCUCUUGGAGAAAACGCGCGUGUUAUGUUUUACACUUAGAAAAAUAUACAGAGCUCUCUCGUUUUCCCUUUUCUCUUUACUAUUUUCUUUUUCUUGGAAGCCAAACAACCUCUGAGGAUGUUUUCUCAGAGGAUGAGAGGCUAAACUUUUGGUUUCUUGGAGUGAUGGAAGCUAGGUGAAAAGUCCAGAUGCAAGGUGGAAAACGCUCGUGCCUUAAAUACAGGUAGUUGAAGUUCAUAAAUGGCUUUUAAAUCCAAAGUUUUGCUUUAAAUCCCUUAGAAUCACUUUGAAUGGCCAAUACAUGGUAAGCUUCAGGUCUCUGUGGAUGCUUAUUGCUAGAUCCAUAUCAGUCCAUUAGUUAUCAUGUACGAGCCAUUGGAAAGUGGUUCAAGGUGAAGACCCAUAGUGUCUAAAGCCAUUAAUGGACCUUGACUACCAUUUCUAUUGAUUUUUAUGGAUUAAAUCUUCAUUGUUAAACCUAUACCGGUUCGGGAAAUAACUAUAGGUUAAAUCCCCAAUGCGAGGAGAAAAAUCCGGAAUUUUCCACUUUGCAUUCUAAACUUGAUCCUAGCAAUCCUGAGCUCCGGGAGACUUUCUUUCUUCAUUUUUAUUAGUUUAUGUUAAUUUAGUUUCAAACACUUUCAAACAAAUUUUAUUUUCUUUAAACAUUAAAUUCAAUUCCUAAUCAUGAGUAUAUCACUGGUAGAAUGAAAACCCAUCCCAGAGUUCGACCCUAGAGCCACUAUACUAUAGUAGUUUUGCUACACUAGUAUGAGGUCAUAGGUUUUAUAAAUGUUUUUGAUUAAAUGACCCGACUGGAUUUACAUACGCGAAUCAGCUAUCAAGGCUCAGAACCCUAGUGGUGUGAUAUGAGUGUUAGGGCAGGUCCAUUAUAGCUGUCAGCCCAAACAAGAAUUAAGAGGAGCCAUUUUAACACAUUAACACCGUCCGGUGGUGUCCCACAUCGCUCCCAGUAAGAAGAAACCCAAAAAAACUUGCUUAUAAAAUAUCUGUCAACGUUAGAUUCUAAACGUGGAGCCGUGUGAAGACCACAAAGCGAACUAUUCUUUCCCUUUUACUGAAGAAUACCAUGUGCCCCCCAUCCAAAUCGGCAUACAUUUAUUAUUAGAGGAGCCUUCCAUAAAUGGAUUAGCUCCCUAUCAAGCAAUCGUAAUAAAUUCCUAAUUUUUAUUUGAUCUUCAUGUUGAUAUGGUUAUGCCCAAGGGUUUAUUUGGUUACCAUAUCAAGUGGUAGGAAACCUUAAAGCUAAUGUGGACUCACCAUUACUAAUGGUGCCUUAUUCUUAAAGCUAAUGUGGACACACCAUAACUAAUGGUGUUAGGUGAAUUCUUCGAUAUCAUAUCUUGCUAAUUUAAUCACAUUAAUAGACCCAUUCAAUGGUCUGACUUCCCUUUUCCCAACUAUCUUUCCAAGUAUACUAGUUUUCACAAUUUCCUUUUUUAGUCAAUUAUCUAAGUGAGUCAUGUGACCAAACUUACACAUCAAUAUGCCUAUUAGUAUAUAUUUCAUUUACAAGAAUCAUCAACCCUUUCGAAAAAAUAUAGAAAAAUUAAAUAUAGUAUUUAUAUUAUUAAAAAAUGAUAUUUUAAUAUUUAUUUUAAUCUUAAAAUAUAUAAAAUAAAAGAUAGGAAAUGUCACUAAACAAUGACCUUGAGGCGGCCGGGCAGCUGAAAGAGCAGAAGUAAUAAUAAUUCACAACCAUACAAUAUUCUACUCAAUCAACCAUUAUAUUCAAUCAAUUAUUGAAAAUUUUAACUUAAAAGAAACUAAGCUCAGAAUGAAAAAGGGAUGGGAUAUUAGUGACCAAAUAGUCACAUUAUAAUUAAACACAUUCAUAAUAUGUCAUACAUAUCAGUAAUGAAAACAAACAAACCUAAAUACUCAUAUUCUAAUUAAACACAUUAAUAAUGUUUCAUACAUACUAAUAUAAACCAAAAAUCAUACAUAUAAAAAUGCCGAGAUAGUAAUAGCAACAUGGAAAAUAACACCAUAACUAACAAUAAUAACAAGAGCAACCACUCAUUGGACUGUAAAUAGACUCUUACGACUCAAAAUUCCUAACUGAAUCUAAAGGAUAUACACUAUUGAGAGAAUUAGAAAAAGACAUCCCAAGAUUGAGUUGAAGAUGACACAAAGCAUCACCUUUCGAAUAGAUUUUCUAUUGAAGUGGCUUCUAAACUCUUCAUUUAAUUCUGUAGCAUUGACGAGACUGAUCAUUAUCUUCAAGUCAUAAGCCACCAAUGAUGAUGUGAGAAAAAAGGCGAAGGAAAUGACCUCAAAUAACAUCAAGCUCUUGAUUGUGUUUAUAUUGGGAUCGCAGUCAAGACGACCAUCCAUGCUACGCAACCCUAUAGUGGUAAGGGAGAGUCCUAAAAAUGAAGAGGCAACACACAGGAAGUUGAGACUCACAAUGUUAUCAAGGCCCUGUGUGAGACUCACAAUGCUAUCGAGGGCGACGAGGUGGAUCUCAUUUCUUAACUCCUCUCUUGAUUUUAUUUGAAUAACUCUGAAAAUAAAAGUAAUAUGUUAAUUUAUAAAGGAAAAUAAAAGAAUGUUGAAAUUAAGAUAAAUACCGUUGGGGCUCCAUAUUUGAUAGGGUUGGAAUUCUUGUGGCUGGUGCUGUAAAGAAAAAGCUUGUGAGAAUUAAUUAAGAAAUGGAGUGGAUAAAAGGGAAGAAAAAAUCUUUUUCUAUUAUCAACUAUGUAAACAAUAAAUUUUCAAUUAAAAAAACGAAAAAAUGAAGAAACAAAACAUUAUAUAGAAAAAAAGAAAAAGAAAAGAAAGAAAUGAUGUUUAAAGCUUACAGCAGAAGGUUACUAUUGAUCUUUAAAGAAUUUGAUAAUAGAAACUGGGAUUGAUGAUGGCGUUGAUAGAAGCAAAUCGGAUUUUGCGAGUGAUUGAUGCGAGGAAGAUGAGGAGACUAAUGGAAACAAGGGAAAUGAGAUACUCUCUAAUGUUGAUGGAAGGGCUGGAACGAGAGAAGAUGAGGCAGAGGAGGAUUAUUUCACAGGUGACAACAAGGAAUGUGAGAACGAAGGAUUGGAAACAUAGAGAAUAGCUCAUUUUGUUCUCUAAACAGUGGAAAAAAAGUCAAAAACAAAGGAAACAUAUUUUUUUGGCAUAUGCUUCUUGGGUCAUGCUUUGGUACCCAUAUAUGUUUUUCGGUACCAUACCUUCAAUCCUCCACCAAUGGCAUUUUUUUUGGCAUAUCCUUUCGGGUCAUGCUUUUUAGGUCAUGCUUUGGUACCCAUAUAUGUUUUUCGGUACCAUACCUCCAAUCCUCCACCAAUAGCAUUUUACCACAUGUUAGGGUUGUGAAUAAAAAAUAAAAAUAAAACUUGCUAUGUGGCUACCAAUCGGUCAACUCCCAUGCCAAAAAAAAUAAAAUAAUCCAAUGCAACACAAAAGUUUUAGUUCUUUACAACAUCCAAUUAUAUAAUAUGAUGAUUUCUUUUAUAAAAAUUGAAAAGUAUUGAAUAAUAUUAAAAAAAUAUUAUUUUAGUGGAAUAUUUCAUUCUUUCAGGAAAAAAAUAUGUUUCAUAGUAAUUUUUUUUUUCUUGUGCUUUAUGCGUGCAUUUCCAUUAAUUACAAAUUUCAGGAAAAAAAAAUGCUUCUUCCGAAUCACAAAUUUCAAAUAUUAUUUUAGUGGAAUAUUUCAUUCUUUUAGGAAAAAAAAAUAUAUUUCAUAGUAAUUAUUUAUCUUUUCUAACCUAUGUAAAUAUUUUCACUUAGGGAGUGUGUUUUAUGCGUGCAUUUUCAUUAAUUACAAAUUUCAAGGAAAAAAAUGCUUCUUUCGAAUCACAAAUUUCAAAUAUUGUUUUAGUGGAAUAUUUCAUUCUUUUAGGAAGAAAAAAAAAUGUUUCAUAGUAAUUAUUUAUCUUUUCUAACCUAUGCGAAUAUUUCCACUUUGAGAGUGUGUAACUUACUUGGAACACGCCUAGAUUUAAAGAAGAGUAAAGCUAGCAUCCAAAGUGAAAUCUUUACGCAAAAAAUAAAAAAAUAAAAAGAAAAUUGAGACAUUACUCCCAGAAUUUAGAAUCUAUGGGUCUUAAUCCCACAAGGACGCCGAGAGCCCUAAACAAUAAACCAAAAAGCUAACAAUCAGCAAUCCAAAUGAAAAUGGAACAAAAAACUCUAAGUUAAAAGAUAUACAAAAAAACUCUAAAUAAAAAAUAUCAAAUAAUACAUUUGAUACUUGAAAUCUUUCAUCUUCUUCAUAGAAUACAAAUUUUAAAUUUUCUCCCUCAAAAUGUUUCAAAUUUGAUCUUCAAAUUUGAUUUAUUAAAACAAAUAUUUUGUAAUAUGGUAGUUGAAACUAUUUAAUUUUCAAAUUAAAUUAGUAUCCCUUUUUGUAUAUAUGAAUAAUGAGAGUAUAAGGGUAGUUGAUAGAAUUUUCUUUUUUUAGAUAGAGUUAAGCAGUUCAUUAAAUAACAAAUUAUAUUUGAUAUUUAAUAAUAAAUUAUAAAAAAAGUUGUAAUAUUUAGAUAUGUAUAAAAUGCAUGUGAUUAUUUCUCACAACAUUUUUACCUAUUUAAUAAGUUUUUGUAAAAAUUUUAAUUUACACGUGUGUCAUUUUGUUAUUAGGGUCAAAAGUGGUAUAAAAUGGAGUCAAGAUUUAUCAGAUUUUAGUUCAUAUAAAUGAUUGAAUAAUGAGACCUAGUAGACAGCUUUUUCUCUCAUCUUAUUUAUGUAUGAGUAAUUGUUUAAUAAAUCUACCAUUUGCCUAGUAUGGUCCUUACACAGCACAUUUUGGCACCCUUUUGCUAAGUAUUGAAUUUAAAGUCAGUUUGGCAUAAUAUUUUGCUUCUUUUUAGUCAGAAAGCAAAACAUGAGUCAUAAGUAGAAGUCGCAAAGUGUAUUUGGCUAAUGGAUUAGCAUUUGGAAGAGCUUUUGCCACAAUCUAUACACUUCAUCUUUAACAGGUUGCCCUGACUGACAGUGAGGAGAGUGUGAUCUAAAGAGAAAUUGAAGCUCCGUUUACAAGAAAUUUCGAGAGAAACUCACACCCACCUUUGGAAGGAACUCAAAAGUCCACUCACACCCAACCAGCUUCCAGUUAAUACUUCAAAUUCACAUCAUCAAACAAGACCAUCAACUUCAACAUUCACUAAAGAAAUUAGCUCAAAAAAAUUCAAAAUCCACAAUUCCAAGUCUGCAUUUUUUUAAACUGGGAUUUGAAGGGUUCAACAAAACCUGAAUCCAGUUUGCACAUAUGGCACAUUAACUUUAUUACAAGAUUAAACUGGCCGGAUAAUUGAUAAUUGUCAUUGGCCUUUUGAUUCAGAGAUGGACUGUAAUGGGCUUGUAGUCGAAAACAAUGACUUUCUCCAGGUGGGGCAGGAACAGAUUUGCGAAUUCGACAUGGGCUGGAUGAGAUACAUACUCUGCAAUGCCUUCCACACUCUCGAAGGUUGACUCGAAGACAUGAGUGAAACCUUGAUGCAUGUUCUCAAUGCUCACAUCCUUGCCCCUGUUACAUUACAGAAGAUGUCACAAGUUUUAGAGAUUUAAGGCAUGAUGGUAACAGGCAGCAUAACCAUUUCGCCAGGCACAACUCAAAGACAUCAGACUCAAACAUGAACCAUCGUAAAUUUCUUCACUUAUAUGAAAACAGAAAUGUUAGAAAGAGAUCUAUUGGUUCAACUGAAAUUGUUCUGAGCAACUGAUGCCUCAUUAUCAGAUGAGUUCAAGGCAUCUGCUUGGCAAAUUAAUAUUGAAGUUCACUGAGUCAUCAUUAAGGCUUCUUGUUCAUUAUGAAAAUGGAAGCAGUCUUAAGUGGUGUUUGUUUUUUUACUUAAUUCUAAAUAGAACUUUAAUACUUAAUAGUGUUAAAUAUUAAGUUGUUUGUUUUUGUAGUAUUUUAUUUUUAUUAAGUAUUAAAAAGUAAAAAAAAAAUCAAUAUGUUAUUUUUUCUAUUUAGAAAAAGCUAUAUAUUUUAAUUUUUUCUAUUUAGUAAAAAGUUUAUAAUAAAUCAUGAAAAAGUAAGAAAACAAACAACUUAAACUCUGAAAACAAAUUACUUUCAGCAAAAAAAUAAAAAAAACAAACACCACCUCAAUUCUUAUACAAAAAGCAUAUACCGGAGAAUUUCAUCAUUCAUGUAAGAAAACCUAUGAAAAUCCAAGCAUGUUAUGCAGAUGACCUACUAAGAGUGCGGUUGACAAUAUUUUUAUUCUAAGCAUUUUUAUUAAAGUUUUUUCUUUAGAAAUGUUUUUGAGAGAAUCACUUAUCAAGUGUUUUUCCAAGAAAUACUACAAGCAAUUUUUCAAUUUUGUAAAAAUGUUUUCUAUGUUGUAAAUUAAGGGAAAUGAAUGACCACAUUGAUGGUCAUUAUGAACUCCAUUUACUCAUCUUUAAGAUGAGUAAUGGGAGUUCAUAAUGUGAAGCCUAUAAAAGGCUUCUUACCCCUCCCAUGUAAUAGCAUCCCGAGAAAGAAAGAAAGCUCUUCCUCUCAUUCUCUCUCUCUCUCUCUUUCACUUUCUCAAUUCUCUUAUUUGAUUCCUUCUUCCAUAUUAUAUAUCAAAGUAAGAUAUAUUUUAUCUCUAUUACUUUGAUUUGCAUUAUAUUUGUCCUUGUUUUACAACACGUUAUCAGCACGAAUUGCUCUGAAGGUAAUUCUCGUAUCUUCACUUAAAGUUAUUUAUAUAGAAUAAAAUUUUACAUAUUUAUAUUAUUGUUGAUUUGUUUUGUUACAUAUUGUUAAAAGUUGUAAACAAAUUAUUUGAUUUUGUUUAUAAUCAAAGUUAUACCAAUGCUAUCAAGUUAUUAUAACUGAUUUUAAUAAUAUUGUUUUGUCAUAUAUAUAUGAAGUUAUUUGACAAUGUCGAAUAUCACAAAACUCGAAUUUGUGGCACUUGACAUUUCGGGAAAGAACUAUCUAUCUUGGAUCCUUGAUGCUGAAUUACAUCUUGAUGCAAUGAACCUUGGAGCUACGAUCAAACAAGGAAAUCAAGCAUCCCUGCAGGAUCGCGCAAAAGCAUUGAUUUUCCUUCGUCAUCACCUCCAUGAAGGUUUAAAAAAUGAGUAUCUUACGGUAAAGGACCCUUUUACUCUAUGGAGUAAUUUGAAGGAAAGAUGACCACCAGAAAACUGUGAUUCUCCCAAAAGCUCGAUAUGAUUGGAUGCACCUAAGGUUGCAAGAUUUUAAAACUGUUAGUGAAUACAACUCUGCACUUUUCAAAAUUAGCUCUCAAUUAAAGUUGUGUGGAGAAAAAAUNNNNNNNNNNNNNNNNNNNNNNNNNNNNNNNNNNNNNNNNNNNNNNNNNNNNNNNNNNNNNNNNNNNNNNNNNNNNNNNNNNNNNNNNNNNNNNNNNNNNAUAUUGCGUUAUCUUCGCGGAACUACUGAUAUGGGUUUAUUUUACUCAAGGGAAUCAAAGCAACAAUUGCUUGGAUAUGCAGAUGCAGGAUAUCUUUCAGAUCCACAUAAAGGCAGGUCACAAACAGGGUAUGUGUUUAAUUGCAAUGGUACUGCUAUUUCAUGGAGAUCUGUCAAACAAACAAUGGUAGCUACAUCAUCAAAUCAUUCAGAAAUACUGGCAAUUCAUGAAGCAAGUCGUGAAUGUAUAUGGCUAAGAUCUAUGAUCCAGCAUAUUCGGGAAUCAUGUGGACUCUCCUCUAUCAAAGGUGGCCCGACAACAUUAUUUGAAGAUAAUGCUGCAUGCAUUGCACAAAUAACAGGGGGUUAUAUUAAAGGAGAUAGAACUAAACACAUUUCACCAAAAUUCUUUUAUACACAUGAACUCCAGAAGAGUGGUGAAAUUGAUGUGCAACAAAUACGCUCAAUUGAUAAUCUAGCAGAUUUAUUCACAAAAUCAUUGCCAACCUCAACAUUCAAGAAGUUAAUACACAGGAUUGGAAUGCGUCAACUCAAGGAUAUCGACAUGAGGGAGAGUAUGCUUGUAAAAGGGUGUUAGUGUACUGUACUCUUUUUUUUUUUCCUUCGUCCAGGUUUUGUCCUACUGGGUUUUACUGGCAAGGUUUUUAACGAGGCAGUCCUAAUAUACCAAGAAAAGAAUAUUGUACUCUUUUUCCUUCGCUAGGUUUUUCCUAUAGGGUUUUUUACUGGCAAGGUUUUAAUGAGGCAUAUUCUUUUAAUAUGGUGGUCAUCCAAGGGGGAGUGUUGUAAAUUAAGGGAAAUGAAUGACCACAUUGAUGGUCAUUAUGAACUCCAUUUACUCAUCUUUAAGAUGAGUAAUGGGAGUUCAUAAUGUGAAGCCUAUAAAAGGCUUCUUACCCCUCCCAUGUAAUAGCAUCCCGAGAAAGAAAGAAAGCUCUUCCUCUCAUUCUCUCUCUCUCUCUCUUUCACUUUCUCAAUUCUCUUAUUUGAUUCCUUCUUCCAUAUUAUAUAUCAAAGUAAGAUAUAUUUUAUCUCUAUUACUUUGAUUUGCAUUAUAUUUGUCCUUGUUUUACAACAUUCUAAAUUUUGUUAAAUACUUUAUUUUUUUUCCAAAAGUGCUUUUUAAACCUAGUAUUUUCUAAAAAUAUGGUCAAACAGGUUCUAAAUCGUGUUAGACACAGACUCUAAUUCCAUCUAGGUGCUCAAAGGGCAUCUUUCACAUAAAUGAAGCCACAAAAGAAAGAGUGACUUCUAAUCAAACUUUAAGAUAAACUUUCACAUCAAACUUAGAAGUACCGAAACUAUGUUUUGGUAACCUGGUUUUAGUUGUUGUGAAUCUAAACAUGUACAUGAGGUUUUGAAAGUCUUGACAUAAUUGCUAAGAAAGCGGGCACCAUCUUGGUGAGAGUUCUCACGACGUGCUUACUAACUUUAAAAAAAAUCACUUUCAGAAAAAAGUCCUGCAAGAAGCAUAUAUUGUCAAGCUAAAAGAGGAAUAUUUUGGUUCUAGCUACAUGCCAAAGCACUAAAUUAUCUUCACUUAUUUUCCUUUUAGGCAUGCUUCAAUUACAACUAAAAAGCAUUCUAUAGACAACUGAUAUUUCACCUGUGAAGUUUUUUCAACACAUGAUAUGAUAAUUGUUUGAAAAUUUGGAACUUUCUUCUCAAUAUAGGACCAGAUGUUCCUGAACGUCUAUAAAAUUUUAAAAAUAUGUAUAUACAAAGAAGCACCAACAAUAAUUAUCAAAUAAUUAUUGUAGGACCAACAUAUGCUAGUGUAGUUGGUAAGUAGGACCGACAGGCAUAGGCACAAAAACUGGGGUGUGAGAGUUUGGCAGUGCAAUACUUUUGUUUCAGUGAGAAUCUGAUUUGUAAACCUUUAUUAACUAAAUGAAAGAUGAUGUGCAUGAAAUCAUGUAGCUUACUUGGUCUAUUUCUAGAUACUAGCUACCAAAGCAUUUUUUUUUUUUUUUUUUUUACAUCAGAUCUACUUCCUUUCACUUCAAUUAUAACACCCAAAAUCGAAUACGACAAUAAAAAAAAGUUAAACGCUCAGUUUGGAGCAUUUGAAGAACAAGUAUUAAGUCAAACCAUCCAAUUUUCAUACUCUUGGCCUAUAGCAUCCCAAGAUUUUUCUUCACUAUCAAAAACAACUAAAAAGAAUUCCUUAAGGCACUUCGAAUUGAAAUUACCAAGGUUUCAAAAUUAAAAAACAUCCUGCCCAAAAAAGGCAUCCACCUGGAACCUUUUAUAACAAAAUGAAAUUAUCAUAAUCAUUCCAUCUUCCUAGUUUGUAUACUAUUGCAGCAAUGAAACAAACAUCCCAAGUGGCAAAGAAGCCCUCUAACUACAAACACUACGUUUUACUUACCUAACCAAAAUAAUUGAAGUACGUAAAUUCUACCAAAAAAUUAAAAAGCAAUAGCAUGAUAAAAUUAUUGUAUUUGUCAAAUGAUUCAAACUGAAAAGUAAUAGCAACUUCAAGAUCCAACGACAAAGCACAACAUAAAUUUGAAAUUGUUUACUAUUAAUCAAAAACUCCUAAAAAUUAAAUACCCUUUUGGGUUGAUUUGCUAUUGGCAGUCAAAGAAUUAUUUCAUUAAUAAUUCUCUCAUGAGAAGCAACAGCCCCUGAAGUUAACAGCAAAGUAACUCCAUCAACCAAUAUAUUCAGUCAAUAAUUCAAAAUUUUAACUUAAAAGAAACUAAGCUCGGAAUUGAAAAGAGAUGGGAUAUUAGUGACCAAAUAAUCACAUUAUAAUUAAACACAUUUAUAAUAUGUCAAACAUACUACUAGAUGAAUACAAACAAAACCAAAUACUUGUGUUAUAAUUAAAUAUAUUAAUAAUGUUUUCAUGCAUACCACUAGGUGAAUAUAAACCAAAAGUCAUACAUAUAAAAACGCCAAGAUAGUAAUAGCAACGUGGAAAACAACACCACAAGUAACAAUAACAACAAGAGCAACCACUCCUUGGACUAUAGAUGGACUCCUACAACUCAAAAUCCCUAACCGAAUCUGGAAGACGUUCACUAUUGAGAGAAUCAGAAAAAGACAUCCUAAGAUCGAGUUAAAGAUGGCAUAAAGCAUCCCCUUCCGAAUAGACUUUCUGUUGAAGUGGUUUAUAUAAACUCUUCAUUUGAUUCCGCACCAUUGACGAGUUUGAUCAUUAUCUUCAAGUCAUGAGCCACCAAUGAUGAUGUGAGAAAAACCGCAAAGGAGACGACCUCAAACAACAUCAAGCUCCUGAUUGUGCUGAUUUUGGCAUUGUAGCCAAGACAACCAUCAAUGCUAUGCAACCCUAUAAUGUUGAAAUUAACAUUCUUUUAUUUCCCUAUAUAAAUCAGUAUAAAUUAACAUAUUACUUUUAUUUUCAAAGUUAUUCAAGUAAAAUCAAGUUAGGAGUUAAGAGAUGACAUCCACUUCGCCGCCCUUGAUAGCGUUGUGAGUCUCAACUCCCUAUACGCUACCUUUUCAUUUCUGGGACUCUCAUUCACCACUAUAAGGCUGCAUAGCAUUGAUGGUCGUCUUGGCUGCGAUGCCAAUAUCAUCAUGAUCAGGAGCUUGAUGUUGUUUGAGGUUGUUUCCUUUGCGUUUUUUCUCACAUCAUCAUUGGUGGCUCAUGGCUUGAAGAUAAUGAUCAAACUUGUCAAUGCUGCGGAAUCAAAUGAAGAGUUUAUAAGCCACUUCAACAAAAAGUCUAUUCGGAAGGUGAUGCUUUGUGCCAUUUUUAGCUCCAUCUUGGGACGUCUUUUUCUGAUUCCCUCAAUAGUGUAAAUCCUCCAGAUUCGGCCAGGGAUUUUGAGUUGUAGGAGUCCAUCUACAGUCUAAGGAGUGGUUUCUCUUGUUGUUAUUGUUACUUGUGUUAUUUUUCACAUUGUUAUUACCAUCUUGGUGUUUUUACAUGUGUGACUUUUGGUUUAUAUUCACCUAGUGGUAUGUAUGAAACAUUAUUAAUGUGUUUAAUUAUAACACAUUACUUAGAGGAUGCAUCCUCAUCCCACUCGCUUGGUCAGCAUGCGAGGAAACCUCUACUCCUCCCCCAACCUCUUGCUCGUUGGACACACAGUUUCUUCUUCUCGACUCCACAAACAAAAAUCUCGACGGAGCUUCCCACCACAGUUGUAAAGAGAAGUUGGAAUUGCCCACUACCACUUGCAACGAACUAGGUAAAGAACUCCCAACAGGAUGCACCAAAAUCUUGGCCCAAUGCAGAUUAGUCAUCAGAGCUGUGUCAACAAUGACAAACCCGCCACAUUCAUCCCCAAUUUUCUUAAACACCAUCCGACUCCAAAGGUGUAAUGGGAAACCCAACACCCUCACCCACAUCUCCUUGGCACGACCCCCCUUGCCCAGACAACCAGCCUCAAGGGUCUUCCUCGCCAAGUGCGGCACUCUCUCCUUAACCCUUCAAGAACCUUUGGCAAGCACCCUUUCUGCCUCAAUAAGAAUAUCAAAAUCAAACAAGGGCAAGGUACCUCCAAAACCUGAAAUUUUCACCCCUUUUCAGAGACCAAAGAGCAGUCACAAAAGAACUGAGUGUACUUGUGAUUAAUUAUUAUACUACGGACUUUAAUUAAAUACUACUUUUCUCAUGUUAUUUCUGUGUUAGUGUUAUUCAUAUAUAUAUAGCCUCAUAUCCAUUGACUCCAUGAUUUCUACACUUACUGCUUUGUCCACUGAAGUUACAAAUCAAGACUUCUCACUAAUGUGAGGGUGAUAAUCAAGAUUAAUCUGGAUGAUCUUAAGCCUCUUUCAUGCAAAAACUUGAUUCAUGCCUUCAAAUACAAAGAUGAAAAUACAACUUUCAUCUAUUGGAUGGAAUUGAGAAUAUAAUUUCUAGAAAAAUCAUAAAAACAUAAACAAUUUUAAAAAAUCAAUAAAUAAAAACUUCCAAAAAUAAUGAGAUGGAUUAGCUGAGUUAGGACACGUGUGCGUGGGUGGAGGACAAGAAAAGAAAAGACUUUCCAAAGGAAGAUAUUGUUGUUAUAUUAUGAGAGAGAUAGAUGCAGGAUAGUGGAUCAUUUGGCCUCCCAUGCAUCUCAAUGAAGUUUAUCCAACCAUAAUAAGAAAGCAACUGCCACAUACAAGGACCACUACAACAUCUUGGAUAUCCAUCCACACUAGGUCAAUUUAUCAACUCUCACUACCUUGCUGAAACAACACAAUACUGAUAUAUAGAAUUAUUAUCAUACAAUCUCCAACAAGAAUAUUUCUAUGCAACUCUUUAUCCAAAUCACCAUAAGAUACAUGCAAACAACAAGUGUGCAUUAAGAACAAUUGAACAUUUCCAGUAAAUUAACCUGUAAACACAGUGAUGGUUUAGCACAUAGGACAGAAUUGUUGACUGUUGGAAACCCUUACCAAUAGAUUCUCAGAAGAGAAGUGCGUAAGGACUGUACAUCAUCUUAGCCAUCAUUUCUCAUUAUCAACCACCUUUAAUCAGUAAACCUAUUGAGAGCCUCAUAAAACACCCUGCAGGAAUUCAUCUAUUAGAAUCUAUAACUAAUAAUUAAGAAACUAAAUAAAAAACAUCAAACAACUGAAAAUACAUCCAAAUAAAAGAAACAUGUUAAUUUACAAUAGCUUUUAGAAAAAUUCUAGUGAUUAGAAGCAAUAAUUUUGGUGACAUAAGGCUCUAUUACCAUGAGGGAAUGCCUAAAAUGAUGGCAAUGCCUGUUCAAGCUGAUAGAGAGAUAAGUAAUAUUUGAAUUUGGACAGAAUAAGAAAUCUUUGUUUGAUCCUAUUUCAUCUCUUUUUAUUUUAAGUAACCAAAUAAAAACCAAGUAAAAGAAACAAAAAAACAAUUAGCUAGAAAUUAGAGCAUGAGACUAAUAAAAUAAAAUAAAAAUCUUCUAAUUGUUUAGUCAAAGCUUUCACAAUUCUCAAAGGCGAGACUAUUUCUUUCCCUCCAAAUGGGACCAAAAUAAGCAUAAUGGAGCAACCUUCUAAGCCUUUUUUUCUUUUCCAAUAAAGGAGCUGCACCAACUCAAGAGCAUCCCAUGACUACAUCACCCCCGGUCCAUCAAAUAGAGCAAAAAUCAAUCCCUUGAUUCUUAAUGAAGAUAAAUCAAACAUCUUGACAUACAAACACAAAUCUAGCGUCUUUUUAGCCAAUCCAAUUUCAAUUGGCAAUCUUUUUAUGAAUCAUCAUAUCAAUGAAAAGUUAGACAUACACCAAUACACACUACAACGAAUAUGGGGUUUUGCCGCAAAUUAAUUUGUGAUUAAAUAAGAGCAUCUUGUGGUAGAAGAUUAUAAGUCCAUGAGCAAAUAUUUUUAACCAUAAAAUUUAAUUUUAUAACAAAAUAAACAAUUUUUUCACAAAAAAAAUUUGUGGCAACAUAUCAUUUUUCGCCAUAAAACAAGUUUGUAGCAACAUAUAAUUUUUUUCAUGAAAAUAAUCAUGGUAAAAGGUCAAUUUUUUGUCAUAAAAAAAUUCCUGGUAAAACAUGUAUCUUAUUUAAUGAAUGGCAAUUUCUUUGGAAUAAAAACUUAAGAGACUAUUUGGUAAAGGAAAGCUAGUUUCUCGGAACCAGAUAUAUGCAUAUAUGUGUAUAUACAUAUUCAUUUUAGAGAUGUUAUGACACUAAAAGUAAGGACUGAGUCAGGACGGAACAGGGAAUAACAUGACAUUGAUGAAAUACUUCUAAAACCCAAUUGAAGUCAUUAUCUACAAAUAUUCUUUUCUUCAAAUCAUUGCCACUGGAAAAAAUUGCUGAAUGCUUAGUCUUAGUAAGUCAGCCUGAGAUUCCUUUAAUAAAUGCAUCCUUAUUAAUUUCAGAGUUCAAAAUUUCGAAUCAAUCCCUGUUGAACUGAGAAAUUUCAAGAGAAAUCUUGGUUUAAAUCAAUCUUACCAAUGCUGAUAAUAGCAUCAAGAAGCAAGCCGAGCAGAGGCAGAAAAACUCCACCAGUGAUUUUAGGACUAACAACUUCCACCAGAACUUCCAGGAAUUUUUUUUUUUAUGAUAUAUUUAAUAUUCAUGUUCUUUCUUUCAUCAUUUUAAUAUUGAAUACUGAUUUUAUCAUUCCUAUUUCUUGUCAAACUUGCAAUCUUUGAUACUGACACCUCUCCUUUCUCAUUGGGGGGAAAAGAUUACCAUAGUCCCAUAUGAUGAACUACUAGUGAUCACUAAACAUUCACAUGUGUUUGCUAUUAACUUGCAGGUCCAAAAUCCAACGAACUCCAGAUUAUAGUUUCAUUACUUAAAUUCAGGAAUUUGACACAUGGAUCAAAAAUCCUAGCUGUGGAGACAAAACUCCCAUUAAGUUGAGUUUCUUUCUUUUGAGUAAACAAGUUCAGAGAAUAUAGAAAACUCAGAAUGAAAAGAUCAUUAAGAAUUCAUAUAUGAAACUAAUGAAGAUUGAAAAUAAGUUCUGGAACAUCCGAAUGCAAUUUCCAUUAAUUACAAAUCUCAUAAAAAUAUGUACAAAUUUCAAACUUGGUGUGAUGGUUUAUAUUUUUUUCAUGCCACAAAUUUCAAAUCUUGUUUAUUAGAAUAUAUCCAUUAAUUACAAAUUUAAGAAAAACAGUAUAAAUUUAUUCAUAGUUGGCAUCCUAAAAUUAGGUUCAGACAUGUACUUAUUAAACUCAAACUUGAGGUUUUGAUAUUAAUUCUAAAAAAGAAUGCAUAACACAAUGUAGUUUUUUUCUCUUUUUAUUUCUAUUUUAAUUUUGUUAUUUAGAAAUGCAUGCAUAUAUUCUCAUCACAGAACUAGAAGAAAAAUUUACUGCAUAAAUCAAAAUAAAGCUUUUACAAAAACAACAAAUUCCAAGUUUUUUUAAGUCAUAAAUUAUUUAAACAAAAUUAACCACUAUGGUACAGAAGCUUUUAUCCAGCUUAAAAAAGCUUGGGAAAAUUGUGUUUUCAGCCCACUUUUCUGCCACCUUUGGGUGAGAGACACGUAGCAAAGGGGGGCAUUCUUUGCAUUGUGGUGGUUAGUGGGGCUGUUGAGGGAGAACUUAUUUCGGGUUUGGUAGCAUUAGAAAGGAAAGGGAAAAGCUUGAGCAGCGAGAAAGCUUGGAGGAAGAAGCCAAAAAGGGAGGAGGAGCUGAGGAGUUUUUGUUGGUCUUAGCAGAAGAGAGUACGGGAAGCCAAGCAAAUUGUUACUUGUGAGGAGGGUUAUCAGGUAAAGAUUCAUAUGGGUCUCAUAUUUCACAUUUUCCCACUGCUUUUACUUUCUUUCUGCUGAUUUCUGGGCCCCAUGUGUUGUUUGUGUGCGGACAUUAACAGGCACAUGAUUAUUUUGUAGAAAUUUGAGAUUGCCUGCAUAACUUUUGGGUUGCUCCCACCUUUUUGCACUCUUCCUAACCUCGUGUGUUCUCCCACCAUAACUUACCGGCGAAGACUGAAGAUCCUACUACCACAUGCAAGAUCCUAGGACCCCUAAUGAGAUGGAAUGACCCCUAAUGGUUGGGUCUGGCUGCACUUGUUUUCAAAUUCCACAUUCAUUAAAAACAGAGGGAAAGGAGAUCAGGAUAGAUCAUUAUAGACCAGUGUACCAACUCCCCAUUCAUUUGAGGGAAAACUAAAUAUUAUUCCAUUUGAAUAGAAGUUUAGACCUACACUUGUAGGUUCUGGCUUGCUUCAUAUACUAAAGGAUGAACUAGUUCUGACCAUUUAUAAUGAUACCAUCAGGCAAGGGAAGGGGUCUCCUCAAGUCCAAAGUUUGCUGUAAUGUCUACCAACAUUAUGACACACAAUGGAACAAAUUAGGAGCAUGACAUGAAGGUUGAAUCAUAACAUACAUAAGCAUCUUUGUCCAAAUUGCAUCUCUAGCACAUCAGCUUUUCUUUUUAGUGUGAUGAAGGAGGGAGCCAACUGACCUGAUAUAGUUUCCUGUCAAAGGUGAGUCUGAUAGACAUUUUUCAAGCCAAUAGAAAGAGAGUAGGCAUAGUUUCUUGUCCAAAAUGAGAAAAGAUUAGUUUGAUGGACAUUUUUAACAGCAAAUAGAAACAAACCAAGUACUGCAGCCCUUUCACAUAAAAUUAGGACAUUUGCAUAUUGUAAAUAAUAAGAAAAAAACAUAUGAAGCUAGGCACAAGAACUGAGGCUUCUGGUGUUGGUCGGAUCAUAACAUCCUAUCGCAUUUGUAGAAAUGUAAGAAUAAGAAAACCAACUCUUUAGUAGAUGCAAAGUGACAAUGAGAUGGGGACGUAGGAUGAUAAAAAGUUAUACACUCAUCAGUUUGGAGCGCUUUAAGACAUGCAUCUUAAGAUACAUUCUAAUACCAAACUAAAAUUCUCAAAUAAGAAAACUAAAACGUAUGCUUUUCAUAAUCUCUUUAAAUAGUCUCUGCUUUUCUCUCUAUAAAUAUCAAGAACAGAUCAUCAUCAUCAAUGGCAGUAAACAAGUUUGCAACGAAACACCAACAAGAUCAUGCUUAUUCUCAUCUAUAAUGUUCUUGAAUGGAUUCUGAUCCUUCUUCUCAACUCUUUUUUCUCUUUAUCUUCUGUCUGAAACCCACAUUGCGAAGAUUUCAAAACUUGGAUGCUAUUCAAAUCAUCGAAAAUUGGUUGAAUUACAAGAUAUAUGUGAGGAUUGCUCAUCCUCAUCGCGACUUUGAUUAUUGUGAAUUAUCAAAGAUUGCUUUCAUUCCAUGAUUCAGGGUGAUGAUGAGAAGAUUGUGGAAAAGGGGGAAGUAAAUUUGAGGUGUUUCUAUUGUGAUGUUAACUUAAACGGAAAAUUCCACUAUCUUUAUUUUCUGAUCAAACCCUCUUAGGGGGUUUUGGAUUAUACCCAGAAAAGGAAUUUGGUAAUAGAAACUGGGAUUGAUGAUGGCAUUUAUAGAAGCAAAUCGGAUUUUGCAACUGAUUGAUGCGAGGAAGAUGAGGGGACUAAUGGAAACAAAAGAAAUAAGAUACUCUCUAAUGUUGAUGGAAGUUCUGGAACAAGAGAAGAUGAGGCAGAGGAGGAUUAUUUCACAGGUGACAACAGGGAAUGUGAGAACAAAGGAUUGGAAACAUGGAAAUAGCUCCUUUUGUUCUCUAAACAGUGGAAAAACAAAGGAAACAUGUUUUUUGGUUAUCAAAAAAGAAACAUUUUGGAAACACGGGAAAUAAUGUAAACAAUAAGUGAUCAAAGUUCCAAACGAGGUUUUGGUGUUUUUGGUUCUCAAAAACAAAAAAACAGUUCUCAAAAACAAUCACAAAUGCAAGAAAAUAUUGGCCCAAGCGAAAGCCCACAAGCAAACAGUCCAUCCUCAACCGUAUUCAGGAAAUGAAUUCUUAAUACAGAUAGUUUUUUGAACUAGAUUUAAAGUAGGCAACUUACCUGGAACACGCCUAGAUUUAAAGAAGAGUAAAAGCUAGCAUCCAGCACACAAAAAAAUAAAUAAAUAAAUAAAAUAAAAAAUUGAGACAUUACUCCCAGAAUUUAGAAUCUAUGGAUCUUAAUCCCACAUGGACACCGAGAGCCCCAAACAAUAAACCAAAAAGCCAACAAUCAGCAAUCCAAAUGAAAAUGGAACCAAAAAACUCUAAGUUAAAGAUAUAGAGAACCCCCUUUCAAUUAGAGGCCUCAUUUCAACAGAGUCGACCCUAGCCAAAGUGAGCCAAAACAGAGAACUUGAGGAUCUCGUUUCCUCCUAAUCUAACCAGAUGAUCCGAAAAUUUCUUGAGCAAACGUGAUAUCGUCCUUCGAAACGACGUGGAUAGUGUUCGCCAUUCUAACCGGAUUCGUUUUCGUAGUAGCAUUCUUCCUCCUCAUUUUGCUAUAAGGCUUCCUCCUCAGAAAGCCUAUAGCAAAAUGCUGUAGAUUGGAAAAUAAUUCCAAUUCUACGGCACUUUUUUAACACAUAGGAUGAGGGAGGGAAAAAAAUAGUAUUUUAUAAUUGAAAAGAAGUGCAAACCCAUUUCCCCACCACCCGUUUUCGUGAAAUUUAAAUCCAAUGGCACAAAAGCAAAGAGACCCCUAGAACAUAUCCAGAAAACACAGGAAGCAGAAAAAAAAAAAAAGCAAUUUUUUUUAUUUUCCGGAGGGUUUUGCAUGGAUUUUCUCGGAAAUCAAACGAGGAUGAAUUUUCCCGGAAAUCGAAUGGGGGAUGGAUUUUCUUGGGAAUCAAACGGGGGUUGCAAAAAAUAAUAAUAAUAGUAUGAUUAGAUUAGUACCUGCGAGGAUUGAGAGCAGAGGAAAAUAGGGCCUUUUUUCGGGAUUCUCUCGUCUGGAGGGCAACCUCGGAAAAGGGCUUCUUGAUGCCCGAGUGAGAGAGAUUUGACUUAGGUUCAAUCCUUGGCUACCAUUGAAUUAUGAUGCUCUUUGAUAUAUUCAAUUUAAAUUUGUUAAGGUUCAUCAUUAAAAAAAACUUAAUUUUAAUUAUUUUAUUUUAAAUUAUAUUUAAUUGAUUAAUAAAAAAUAUAAAAAUUAAUAUUAUAAUUUUUUUAACAAGUCUUUUUUAUAUUAUUUUUAUGAUAAUUAAAUAUAAAAAAUAUAAAUAUUAAAAAAAAUCAUAUAUGUAUCAUGAUAAGAUAAUCUUUUAGGUAGUAGUAUCUUAUUGAAGUUGUUGGCUUUAAUUAUUUUCCUAGUCUUUCUGCUUCUAGGUGAAGGUUUCUUUGAUUAUCAUUAUUUGGUUUUAUUUAAUUAAUUAAUUUUAAAUUUUCAUUAUCAAAUGAUGGAAUAUAUAUUUCGUUUUUUGUUGCUUUCUUUUGGUAAGGAUGACGCUAUGAAUCAUGGCAAUUAGUUGUGGAAUUUUUUUUUCCCUAGAUGAUGAUAAUUUUUAAAAUAUGGUCUUUAAUAGUUUUAGUUGUUCAUUUGGAAGUAUUAGACAACCUAUUUUUAUUUUAUAUCUAGUAAUGUUUUUUCAUCCAUUACUCGAUUAUGAGGUGUACGAAUUAGAGGGGGAGGGGCUCAUACGAGAGGGACUAGGCAUACAUCUGUUCUUAGAGAUGCACCAUCAACUAACAUUAGCCCGCCACCUGUUGAGGAGACUUCUAUUACACCUAUAGAGGUGUCAUGCACCCCACCUGUAGUACCACUUGUUGCAUCAUCACCACAACCGAUAGAGGCUAUAUUGGUUGAUGAAGAGUUAGUUCAUAUAGCAAAUGAUGAUCAGUAAAGAUAAAAGAAUGAUCGUGGUCGAGGACGUGGUAGGAGAUGUGGUUGUUGAGCUCAUGGAGGGGUACAUAUUAGCCCCAUAGAGCCAAUAGUGGAACAUGCAUAUCAUGGACGUCCACAACAAAAAAGGAAGGCUCCUUCGUGCAAUACGCAUUGAAGAUGUUACUAUAUAUGACUUAUAUUUUGGAUGUUGUAAGUAUUUUGUAUAUCAUUAUUUUAAACAAAUACUCGAGAUGUAUAUUUAUACUUGUUAUGUUUUGGAUUAACUAACUUUUUAUUAACGUAAGUUCUAUAGUAUUUUUAUCUAUUUUGAACUUAUUUAACACAAAAUAGUAUUGUUACUAAGGUGUUUCUUGAAAAAACAUUUUUAGCAUAAAUUCGAAAUUUUUAACUGUAUAUGAAAAUUGUGGAAAUUGUCUAAUUCAAAAAACACAUAAUAUUUUUUUUUUUUAAUUAUGGAUUUAGUAUAAAUCCAAUUUUUUGGGGAUUGCAGGUGUCUUUCAAGAGACACCUUCAAUAUAAAAUCAAUACAAAUUAAAAUUUGUGAAAUUAUGGAAUCAAAACUUUAGUACAUACUGGAUUUUAUAGAAUUGUGAAAAGUGUCUCUUGAAGAAACACCUUCAGUAUAAAUCUAAUUUUGUUGGAAUUGUAGAAUGUGUCUUUUGAAGAGACAUCUUUAAUAUAAAAUCAAAUUUAAGAGACACAUAAUAGUAUAAAUUAAAAUUUGUGAAAUUAUGAAAGGGACACUUUCAAUAUAAAUCCAAUUUGUUGGGAAUAGUAGAAUGUUUUUUUUUCAAAAGACUCCUUUAGUAUAUAUUGGAUUCUAUGGAAUUGUAGAAGGUCUCUUGAAGACACACCUUUAGUAUAAAUCAUUUUUUUUUGGGGAAUUAUAGAAGGUGUCCUUUAAAGAUUUAAUAUAAAAUCAAAUUUAAGAGACACGUAAUAUAAAUUAAAAUUUGUGAAAUAGUGAAAGGUGUCUCUUGAAAAGACACUUUUAUAUAUAUUGGAAUUUGUGGAAUUAUGGAAAGUGUCUCUUUGAGACACCUUUAGUAUAAAUUAAAAUUUUUUGAAAUUGUAGAAGGUGUCUCUCGAAAAUAAAAUUCAUGAGAAUGUAGUGUAAAUUCAAAUUUGUCAAAUUAUGGAAGAGAUGCCUUUAAUACAUAUUGGAUUUUAUGGAAUUGUGGAAAGUAUAUUUUCAAGAGGCACCUUUAAUAUAAAUCCAAUUUUCUAAAAUAGUAGAAGAUGACUCCUGAAUAGACACCUUUAGUAUAUAUUGAAAUUUGUGGAAUUAUGAAAAGUGUCUCUUUAAGUGAUACUUUUUGUAUAAAUUAAAAUUUUUGGAAUUGUAAAAAAUGUCUUUUUAAGAGACAUUUUUAGCUUGAAAUCAAAUUCAUGAGACAAAUUCAAAUUAAUCAAAUUAUGGACGGUGUCUCUUCGUUGGAUUUUAUAGAAUUUUGAAAAGUAUCUUUUCAAGAGAUAUCUUUAAUAUAAAUUAAAUUUUUUGAAAUUGUAAAAGAAAAUGCACAUUUAGUUUAAAUUCAAUUAUUUUAAAUAUGUAUCAUAAUUUUGAAAAUUAUGAAAGGUGUCUAUUUAAAAGACACCUUUCACAUGACAAAUCUAUUUUAAAAUGUUGCUGCAAAAGUUUAAAAAAACCGCUUCCUAUAGACCUGUAAAUGAUGAAGCCUACUACUCCACCAAAUUAUGACUAUAUAUAUAUAAAAUUAUGGGAGAAUUGUGUUUUGGGCCCAGUUGGGUCUAAAAAUUAACAUUUGGUCCAUAUAACUUCCAUAAUUGAUGGAAAUGAUAUAAGAUGUUAAAAAACCAAUAUAUCUUUCAAAUUUCUAUACAUUACCUUUUAAGGAUAUAAAAUAGUGAUGGACUAAAAUACCCAAUAACCUUUCACAUAAGUUUUUUUUGUCUUUAUUGCACCACUAUUCAUACAACCAUAAUAAUUCUAUUUUAACAAUUUGGAUUUUUUUAUUGUUUUUUUUAAAUUAUAAAUAAUUGAAAAUCAACAUUAUUUUCUAUUUUAAAUUAUAAAUAAAGAAAAAUUAUGUUCAAAAACUAUUUUAAAAAACGCUUUCUAAAAAAUAGUAAUAUGAUUUAUAUUUUUUAUAUUUUCUUUUUGAAAAAACGUUUAAUUAAAAAACGAAAACUAUUUUUAAAAAUAAAAAUUGAAAAUUGUACUAUUUUUUAUAUGAAAAUAAUAAAAAGAAUUAAAUUUUAGUAAUUGAUUAUCCAUUUUUAUUUUUUUCCAUUAGUUAUUUUAAUAAAAAAAAAUAGUAUGUUUACAAUUAAACAAAUAAAUUGAUCAAUUAUGUGUUUUUUGUGGAACUAUCUUUUACAUGAAAAAUAAUUAAAUAACUAAAUUAUAUAUAUUUAUUACUCUUUUUAAUUUUAUUUUCUUUAUUUAUUUUUUGUCUAAUAGAAAAUUUUAAUAUAUCCAUAAUUAACAAAGUAAUAAAUCAAUUGUGCAUAUUUUUAUCUAUUAAAAUAAAUUACUUUCUAAUUUAAAUAAAUAAAAUAAAAUAAGUAAAUAAAUUUGGGGUUAUUUCUAUUUUUUAACAUAUCUUAUAUCAAUAUUUUUAAUGAUUAAAUAAAAUUUUUAUUUUUUAUUUCUUUAAUUCCAAAAAUAAAAUGAAAUAAAUAAAUAAAUUUGGAAUUUUCCAAUUGAUCUUAUAUUCAUAUUUCUCAUGGUUAAAUAAUUUUUUUAUUCUUUUGUCUUUAUUUCCAAAAAUAAAAGGAAAUAAAUAAAUAAACUUGGUUUAAAUAAUAGUUUUUAAGUAAUUUUUUUAUCUUAUUUUUAAUUACAUUUUGCAUUGAAAAUAAAAUAAAAUAACGUUUUAUUUGAGUCACUGUACAAGGUAUUUACACUAAGUGUACAUGACAAAUAUACUAAUUGUACAAGGGUGUACAAGACUAUUAUUUGUGAAGGAUUUUAAGUAAUUUUGAAAAACUUGUUUGUUUAUUUCCCCUAACCGAGGAUAAAUGAAAUUCCUUAUACACAUUGGUUAAGCAUACAUUCAUUUCAUACACUUUAUCUAACUUGUAUAUGGUCAUUUGAAUAGGUACCUCACUUAUGAUGAUUGUAAAACAAAAUUAUAUAAUAAUUUUUCUUCUUUUUUAAAACCAAACCAAUGCAAACAUGGUUAACCAACCUAUUGUUAGAUAUUCAUGAGAUGAUGCAUGAAAUUUGAGUUAUUGUAUAAGGGUAUUACACUAACUGUACAAGACAAAUUUACUAAUUGUACAAGGGUGUACAAUACUACUUUUUGUUAAGAAUUUCAAGUGAUUUUGAAAAACUUUCCCAUUUUUUUCCACUCAAAUAUUUUUUUCCCCACUCAAAUUCUCUCACUCAAGAAUUGUUUCGAAUUUUAUUUUUAAAUUUCAUCAUCAAAUUUUUGUAAUUGCAUAUUUUGUUUUUAUAGUUUUAGCAAUGUUAUUUCUUUCUACUAUUUUUUUUUUUUGUGAAAUUUUAUCCAAAUGAAUCUAUAUUUAAAAUUAUAAUCAUAUUUAUCAAAUUUUUUACUUAGAUUAUCUUUAAUUCUUUUAAUAUAUUUAUACUUGUUUAUUUAAAAAAAAUGAAAAACUAAUUUUUUUUUCUAAACAUGUUCUAUUACCUUUCAAGUAAAAAAAUUAGAUAAGUUUGAAAGUCAAUAAAAAAAAUUAAAUACCACUUUCAAUAAUUUUUAGAUAAACUUUUAUAUAAUAUAUUUUAUUUGAAAUUUAAUUUUUAAAGUUUUACUAAAAAAUUGUACUACAAUUUUCUUGUUGUGAAUCAAAAUACUUUGCAUUAGUCUAUCUAGAUAAAAAAAAUUAUUAAUAUAAUAUUAGAACUUCAUAUCUUAGUUAUUUUUUUCAAUAAAUUUAUCUUUUAAAAAAUUUUAAAAUAAAAACAUUAAAAAUUAAAAAGCUAAAAGGAUAUAUAUAUAUAUAUAAUAGAGUGAAGUGAUAGUCAAUUUAAAUUUUUUUUAAAAUAUGGUUAAUGUAGCAAAUAUAAAAAAUAAUUAAAAAUAAGAGAAAAAUAUAAAUGAAAGGGUAAUAUAAAUUUAAAAUAAAAAAUAAAAAAUAAAACUAAAAGAUAAAUACAAAAAGAUAAAAAAUAUUUGGAUGAAAAAUCCCAAAAUUUUUAUCAUUGCUUAUAAUAAGAGUAAAAAGAUUCAAUAUCUUUAAAAAUGAAAAACAAAAAAACAUUAUUGCUUUUUAUUUGACAUAAAAUAGGAAUAUAGAUUGGAAGAAAAAAAAAGUUAAAAAUGAGUAAUACUUAAUAGGAAUAGAAAAGGGAAAAAAAAACACAAAAAAAUUGAAAUUCACGCUCACUUAUGCCUGUGGAAGAGUUAAGGGUAUUUUAGGGAUUAAUGAAGGAUAAUAUCCUUCAUCUUAAUUUUCAUACUUUGUUUGGGUCUUGGGCUUAAAUAUGCAUGAUAUUUGGACCAAAUGUUAAUUUUUGAACCCAGCUGGGCCCAAAACACAAUUCUCCCUAAAAUUAUCCCUUGGAGUCAACGUGAGUUCGCUUCUCAUUGGAGGGGUCCCGUAAGGUGGGUCCCAAUCGGUGAACCCCACUAUCUUUCUUCCUAAAACAUCCUCAGGUUUUAUUCCUUAUUUUAAUUAAAAAACAAUUUAUAAUAUUUUCAAAAAAUUUAACUUUCAAUCAAAAAAAAUAAUAAUAGUUAAAUAAAGAUAAGUUUUUUUUUUAUGUAAGGUAUGGAAAAAAAUAUUAUUAAUUAUUUGCUAUAUUAAUGAUUUUUUUUUUUAAUAUUUAGCAUAUUGAUGAGUGCCAAAAUGACAAUAUUUAAGAUAAAUAAAGAACAAAAAAAAGGUAAAAGAACCAUAGAAAAGUCUAUUAAAUAAAAAAUACAAGUAAAAUAUAAGUAAAAUAAUGCAUGUCUUACAUAACAAAGGUUUAUUUUAUAUUUACGUAUUAUCUUUUAUUUAUAAUUAUAUUUUAGGUGUCUCACAAGUUUUUUAAUUAUAUUUUAUUUUCUUUACUAAUUUUCACAAGUUUUGCUUCUUUUUUAAUAAUGUCAGUUACAAGCAUCAACCCAUAAAUUUAUAGAUGUCAUUAAAUGAAGUAUAACAUUAUUUCUUAAUAAAAAUCUUUACCUUAUGAAAUAAAAUAUUAUAAAAUUUUAAGUUUUAUUUAGUGUGUUUUACUAUAAGUGAUUUGUCAAAUCUUUUUUAGAGCACGUUUGACAGUAAUUAUAAGAAGUAUUUCUAACAUUUUUAGUACUUGAAAAAUGAAAUUUUCAAAUGUUUUAGAUGUUAGAAAUACUUCCUAAAAUCACUACCAAACAUACUUUAAGUGAAUCAAUUAAGUGAUUUUUGAUUGGUGUUGGUUAAAUCCUUACGUUCCUUUAAUAAUUGAUUAAUUUAAAUAUAAUUAUAUUUAAAUAGGGCAAGCUAUACAAUGAGUGUAGGGAGGCUAAUUAAUCACACAAGAGUGUGAAAAAAUAGGAGAUAAUAAAAUCAACAAUUUAAGGGAGUACUAAUUUGCUUUUAAUGUGUUCGGAAGUAACCAAGUAGGUGCCAUGCAUAGAAUUUGAACAAGAUCAAAGACUUCUCAAACCCUUCCCUGGUAUAAAAUGGAGUCAAGAUUUAUCAGAAUUUUAGUUCAUGUAUAUGAUUGAAUAAUGAGACCUAGUAGACAGCCUUUUUUCUCAUCCUAUUUAUAUACGAGUAAUUGUUUAAUAAAUCUACCAUUUGCCUAGUAUAGUACUUAUACAGCACAUUUUGGCACCCUUUUGUUAAGUAUUGAAUUUAAGGUCUGUUUGGCAUAAUAUUUUGCGUCUUUUUAGUCAGAAAGCAAAACAUGAGUCAUAAGUAGAAGUCGCAACUUGUAUUUGGCUAAUGGAUUAGCAUUUGGAAGAGCUUUUGCCACAAUCUAUAGACUUCAUCUUUAACAGGUUACCCUGACUGACAGUGAGGAGAGUGUGAUCUAAAGAGAAAUUGAAGCUCCAUUUACAAGAAAUUUCAAGAGAAACUCACACCCACCUUUGGAAGGAACUCAAAGGUCCACUGACACCCAAACAGCUUCCAAUUAAUACUUCAAAUUCACAUCAUCAAACAAGACCAUCAACUUCAACAUUCACUAAAGAAAUUAGCUCAAAAAAAUUCAAAAUCCACAAUUCCAAGUCUGCAUUUUUUUAAACUGGGAUUUGAAGGGUUCAACAAAACCUGAAUCCAGUUUGCACAUAUGGCACAUUAACUUUAUUACAAGAUUAAACUGGCCGGAUAAUUGAUAAUUGUCAUUGGCCUUUUGAUUCAGAGAUGGACUGUAAUGGGCUUGUAGUCGAAAACAAUGACUUUCUCCAGGUGGGGCAGGAACAGAUUUGCAAAUUCGACAUGGGCUGGAUGAGACACAUACUCUGCAAUGCCUUCCACGCUCUCAAAGGUUGACUCGAAGACAUGAGUGAAACCUUGAUGCAUGUUCUCAAUGCUCACAUCCUUGCCCCUGUUACAUUACACAAGAUGUCACAAGUUUUAGAGAUUUUGAAGGCAUGGUAACAAGCAGCAUAACCAUUUCGCCAGGCACAACUCAAAGACAUCAGACUCAAACAUGAACCAUCGUAAAUUUCUUCACUUACAUGAAAACAAAAAUGUUAGAAAGGGAUCUAUAGGUUCAACAGAAAUUGUUCUGAUUCUAUGAGCAACUGAUGCCUCAUUAUCAGAUGAGUUCAGGGCAUCUGCUUGGCAAAUUAAUAUUGAAGUUCACUGAGUCAUCAUUGAGGCUUUUUGUUCAUUAUGAAAAUGGAAGCAGUCUCAGUUCUUAUACAAAAAGCAGAUACUGAAGACAAUUUCAUCAUUCAUGUAAGAAAACCUAUGAAAAUCCAAGCAUGUUAUGCAGAUGACCUACUAAGAGUGGGUCGACAAUAUUUCUAUUUUAAGUAUUUUUAGUGAAAGUGUUUUCGUUAGAAAUGUUUUUUAGAGAAUCACUUAUCAAGUGCUUUCCCAAGAAAUACUACAGGUGAUUUUUCAAUUUUGUAAAAAUGUUUUCUAAAUUUUGUCAAAUACUUGAUUUUUUUCCAAAAGUGCUUUUUAAACAAAGUAUUUUCUAAAAACAUGGUCAAAUGGGUUCUAAAUCGUGUUAGACACAGACUCUAAUUCCAUCCAGGUGCUCAAAGGGCAUCUUUCACAUAAAUGAAGCCACAAAAGAAAGAGUGACUUCUAAUCAAACUUUAAGGUUAACUUUCACAUCAAACUUAGAAGUACCGAAACUAUGAUUUGGUAACCUGGUUUUAGUUGUUGUGAAUCUAAACAUGUACAUGAGGUUUUGAUUGCUAAGAAAGCUGGCACCAUCUUGAUGAGAGUUCUCAAGACGUGCUUACUAACUUUAAAAAAAUCACUUUCAGAAAAAAGUCCUGCAGCAUAUAUUGUCAAGCUAAAAGAGGAAUAUUUUGGUUCUAGCUACAUGCCAAAGCACUAAAUUAUCUUCACUUAUUUUCCUUUUAGGCAUGCUAAAAAGCAUUCUAUAGAGUAUAGACAACUGAUAUUUCACCUGUGAAGUUUUUUCAACACAUGAUAUGAUAAUUAUUUGAAAAUUUGGAACUUUCUUCUCAAUAUAGGACCAGAUGUUCCUGAACUUCUAUAAAAUUUUAAAAAAUAUAUAUAUAUACAAAGAAGCACCAACAAACUUUCGGGUUUUCUAAGGUUUAUUCAUAAAUCAAAUGUUGCCCAAUAUGGGAGACCAAGAAGCAAGACUAAACGCCUACUGUGAAACAGCUGCAACUCAUCCUAAUACCCCUUUGGAAACAAUUGUAUUAGGCUCCUUUCAGAAAGCCCACACCACUACAAACAACAAAGAGAGGCACCUCAAGCAUUCACCCUACCGACAUUGUUCAACAAUUUAGAAGGGGAUUCUCAAACCCAACCUAAGUCAAUCAACUUCAUCCGAGUCUUCAAUACAAAAUCUGAAGAAAAACUCCAGCAAAUCCAACAGAUACAUGGAUCCAAUCUAUCCAAGAAUCACCCAUCCACAUAAUUUGAUGAUUUAUGAAAUUUUCCAGGAAUGUGUUUGGAUAAUUUUAUGCUACUUACGAUUUGAAUCAAGCCAAAAAGUGGGUCAGAUUACAUUAAUUAGUAUGUGCAGAGUGUAAAUUUUCAACCCGAUCAACAAAAUUGCUGAUAACCCCCAGAUACUUGCCACAAAUUCUUCUGAUUCCCAAAAAGAAAACACUCAAACAAGUAAAAUCACCAGAUCCAGAAGAUGACACCAUAAAUAAAGAUUGCCAGAGCAUUUGGUAGUGAAACUUAUAGUGGAAAAAUGCCACACAACUCACUCAAUUCCCAAUUAAAACUACUGGGUUGUGCCCAAAACCGGAUCCCCAACAAUACCCAUUUGGCAGAUCACACAAAAAUCCAAGAAAUCCCAAGAAAACAACUGAUAUAGAUUCAAGAGAAUAACAACUCACUCAAAACCGAAUCCCCAACAAUAACCAUUUGGAAGAGCCCAUAAAAGCUAAGAAAUCUCAAGAAAAUGACAAUGAAACAGAGAAAAAUGAAGCAAAAUUAUUGACUCAGAUUGAAGAGAAGUACCAGUGGAAGGCUUUCAUGGGAGGCACCAGAUUGACAAGGUUGGCAUAGCCCUUGAUGAGUUCUUCAAUCUGGUCAGGUGGGGUUGAAUCUUUGAAUUUUGCCAGCAAUACGUGCUUUACCACCCCCUUCGCCUCUUCCAUUCUACUCUCUCUUAGGACUCUUCCCCUUUCUCUGUGCCACCUUGCUUGCUUAUCUAAAAAGCUGUCAGCCAAUCAUCUACAAAGUACUGCAAGAAUGAUUUGAGAUGAAAAUCCAAUUGGAAAAGGUAACCAAUUUUCAUCCUUUAGAAAAAUUUAUCAUUUUUUAUUGCCUUACAUACAAAAAGAUUUCCUUAAUAUACAAAUUAUUUUUUACCUCAAAUUAUUUAUUUGUAUGGAAAUGUUUUUUUAAUAUAAAAAGUGAAUUUUUAACUUUCACUCCAAAUUUGAAGGAUACUCUCAAUUAAUAUUUAUUUUAAUUUUAGAAAAAUUCAAACUAAGAAUAAAAAUAAAAAAUAAAAAAUCAGACAAGUCACGUGAUCAUUUUCAUUGAUAAUAGAAAAAAUGUGACAAAAUGAGCAUUUAUACAAUUUUUUUAACUAAUUGAUAAGUUUUUUUAUUGUAUGCAUGCUUACCAAGGAGUUUAGACUUCACAAGCUACACUUCUUUUUUCAUUGAUUGCUACACUUUCUUGUACACAUUUAUCAAGAACUUGGGGGCCCAGAAUUUGAGAUGGAACGUUUAAACAUUUGGUUUUGCCAUCUAUCUAAUGAAAACCCAUUUGUUUUUCUUUUUAAUGUUUUAUUAUAUUUGGUUCGGAAAAAUAUUAAGAAAAAAAAAGUAUUAAAAUAAUGUUUUUUUUCUAUUUUAUUACGAAAAAUAUGAAAAAAAAAAAAGUUAAAUAUAAUUAAAAUUAAUAAUUUUUUUAUAUAUAUUUAAAUUAUUUAAUAUUUAUAUAAAUGAGUUAAAUCCCAUAAAUGGUUCUAGUUAAUGAAAUGAUCCAUAGAAUCUUCGUUACACCAUCCACCUUUUAGGCUUUGAGCAUUCUCAGACCUUUCCAUUCUUUUCAACCGCAGGAGUUGUACUUCAUUGGAAACGGAAGUGAUUUUGGAUUGGAAGCGGAUAUUCCAACUAUCUUCCAAUUAAUACUCCAAAUUCACAAUAUCAAACAAGACCAUCGACCUCAAAAUUCACUAAAGAAAUUGACUCAAAAAUUCAAAUACCACGACACCAUCCAGUCUGCAUUUUUAUAAGAGAUUAAACUGGCCGGAUAAUUGGUAAUUGUCAUCUGCCUUUUGGUUCAGAGAUGGACUGCAGUGGGCUUGUAGUCCAAAACAAUGACUUUCUCCAGGUGGGGCAGGAACCGAUUUGCAGCUUCGACGUGGGCUGGAUGAGAUACGUACUCUGCCAUGCCUUCCACGCUCUCGAAGGUGGACUCGAAAACAUGAGUGAAACCUUGAUGCAUGUUCUCAAUGCUCACAUCCUUGC
rnacentral:lncRNA from 1 species